rnacentral:lncRNA from 1 species
GAAUAUCUAAUGCGUUCUCCGACCGGAGAAGUCAUUUUUGGGGGAGAGACUAUGCGUUUUUGGGAUCUGCGUGCUCCGUGGUUAGAACCACUAAGGGGUCCUAAUGGUUUGGACUUGAGUAGACUGAAAAAAGACAUCCAACCUUGGCAAGAACGACGUUCCGCGGAAUAUAUGACCCAUGCUCCUUUAUGUUGUGUAAAUUGUUUGUAAUUAGUUAAGGGAUUUAGAUAAGAGGAUUUAUGGAAAUAGUUUGAAAAUGAAGAGAUUUUAUAAGUUAAUCCUAAUUAAGUUAACAUGUGAGAUGAUGAGGCCACGACAAGAUCAAUUAUAAUAUUGCAAAUUGCCACUUGGCAAAUUCUUAUUGAAUAAGUAGCCCCCACAUGUAGGCAAAAGAGGCAGCAUAUUAUGUUCAUCAACCCAUUAAGAAAGCCAAAUUUUCAUUGAUAACGACUAUCAAACAAAUUCCAAUGGAUUUUCUCUCUUCUUUCUUUCUUCUCUUGCUGGCUUUCCUUUUACUUCAACAACUCAGAACCCGCCGGAGAAAUCUGCCUCCCAGCCCACCCUCCUUUCCGAUUAUUGGUCAUCUCCAUCUCCUACAACGCCCAACCCACCGGAACUUCCAAAACAUCGCUGCCAAAUACGGACCCAUUUUCACUCUCCGAUUCGGAUCUCACCUUGCUGUCAUAGUCUCUUCACUCCAAAUAGCCCAAGAAUGCUUCACCAAACACGAUCUCAUAUUCGCCAACCGCCCGCGUUUGCUGAGCGGAAAAUACCUCGGCUACAGCUGGACCACCAUGGCUGCCGCCUCUUACGGCGACCAUUGGCGGAACCUCCGCCGCCUCGCCGCCAUGGAGAUCUUCUCCCCGACGCGCCUCAACGCGUCUCUCGCCUUCCGGAAGGAUGAAAUCCAGCGAUUGUUGGUCAAACUCCAUUCGGAAUCAUUCGCCAAGGUGGAGUUGACACCCAUGUUUUCGGAACUGAGUUUCAACAUCGUGAUGAGGGUCGUGGCCGGAAAGAGGUACUACGGGGAGAAGGUUUCCGAUGAUGCGGAAGCGAGGAAGUUCAGAGAGCUUAUGGAUGAGGUUUCGCGUCAGGGAGGAACUUCGCAGUGGGUGGAUUUCAUGCCGAUUAUGAAAUGGAUUGGGUUUGGUGGAUAUGAGAAGAUUUUGGCCAAAUCGGCAAUAUGGGCCGAUCGAUUUGUCCAGGAAUUGGUUGAUGAACAUCGGAAUAAGAAAGUAUUGGGAAGAGAAGAACAGAGUUCUCUGCUUCAUCGGCUUCUGGAAUUACAGCUCUCGCAACCGGAAUAUUACACCGAUCAGAUCAUCAAAGGGCUUGUUCUGGUUAGUAAUCCAACCUCUUCUUGUUUAAUCUAAUCGGAUUUUGCUUUUCAGUGUGGGAGACUGAAAUAGAGUUGAUCUAACUUGAAUAUUGUUAAGCAAAUGGAGAACGGAAGAGUUUGGUUGAUUUCACUUACUUUAUGAACUAAUCAAAAGUAAAAAUGCUCACUUUUAAUCUUUCUUCUUUCCUGGACGAACUUCCGAAACUCUGUCUUUUUGUCCUCUUUCCUUCUUCUGUUUCUUCUCCAACGCAACCAACUUUGGUAAAACUGUUAUUUUCUUCCCUUUUUUUCAUUCUCUUUUCUUCUUCUCCGGUGUGACCAACUUUAUCGCAAACCACACACCACAACUACGGGUGUGAGAGAGGAGUGGAGAGUGAUCUGUGACUGAGGAAAGGGAGAGAGAGCGAAAGAAAGAAUGAGAAAGAGGUAGAUGAGCCUUUCAUGGGCUGAGUAUAUUUUGUUAAUUUCACCAAAGUCCCUUCCCAUCAAGUUUCUCCGCUGCUAAGUUGUUUUGCUCUCAAUAAUUUCAAUAACUAUACUUUAUUUCUUUCUAAUUGGAAUAUUGCACUUCAUUUACUAUGAAAAGUUCACACAAUUUCAUCAUAAAUUUAUUUUAAACAGAUUCUAUUUUGUAUAAAAAUGAGUUUUUCUUACCGACGGCCCAAAAUGUCGGAAACAAAGUUUCAGAAAGGGAGCGGAUUCCGUUUUAGGCCAAAUAUUGUAUUAAAUGGACGAUUAUCUCUAUAGCAAUCGUUUUAAACUUUUAUAAAUAAGGAUUGAGUCAUCAAGAGGAACCCAUUUUAAUAUUAAAAAGAACUAAAAUGGACAUUUCAAAAUUGAGGAACUAGAAUGUAUAGAAGUUAAAAAGUACAAACGAAAAUAAAAAAAUUUGAAAAGACAAAAUUGAACCAAAGCAAAACACAAUGUUUUAUCCAAGUCUUACUAUUUUGUGCUGCUUUGGUUUUCAAGUAUUAUAUUAAAAAAGACGUUGUUGUGUAGGUUUUGUUGCGUGCGGGAAUAGACACGUCAUCUGUGACCUUGGACUGGGCAAUGACUGAACUACUCAACCAUCCGGAGGUAUUAGCCAAAGCCAAAGCUGAGAUAGACACCAAGAUCGGUCAAGAUCGUACCGUUGAGGAAACAGAUGUCGCCAACCUCAACUACCUUCAAGCCAUUAUUUCUGAAACCUUUCGUUUGCACCCUCCAGCCCCGAUGCUUCUCACACACUAUUCCUCUGACGACUGCGUUGUCGCAGGCUACAACAUUCCACGUGGGACGAUGUUGUUGGUCAAUGCUUCAGCAAUUCACAGAGACCCGAAGUCGUGGGAUGACCCAACUAGUUUUCGACCAGAGAGAUUCUUGGGAGCAGGGAAUGAGUUACAGACCAACAAACUCAUUCCUUUUGGAGUUGGAAGGAGGGCUUGUCCUGGAGAAAUUAUGGGUUUACGUGUUGUAGGAUUGACUUUGGGUCUAUUGAUUCAAUGCUAUGAGUGGAAAAAACAUGGAUAUGAUAACGUAGACACGACUGAAUAUGGAGGUAUCACCAUUCUCAAAGUGAAGCCUGUGGAGACCAUGUGUAAACCUCGUCCAGUUAUGGCAAAACUUCUAUCAAAUAGUUUGGACUAAGUCUUACAAGCGUGUGGUUACAGCCUUUGUUAUAUUUAGAGCUUGAAUAAAUAAUGUGAUUUGAAUGUUCUCAAGCUUUUAUGUAUAUAAUAUAUAAUCAGAACUUAAAUAUAUAAAUCUACCUUCAGCAAACAGUAAAAAUAAAAAAAUAAUGUUCUCAAGCUUUUAUAUAUUUAUAUUUGUGUAUUAUAUGCAUACACAUUAAAAACUUUAAAUAUCUCCUUAAAAACUUUUAUCUAAAAUUAUCUAUCAAAUCAAUGUUCUACAAUAAUUAAAAAAUAGCCUAAAAUGAUUUAAAGAAAAAAACGUGAAAUAUAAAAACUAAAAUAAAAUAGCACUAAACCAAAAACCUUUCACAAUCAAAUUACCUUCCAGAAACCUUUACACAAAGGUAGAAAAUAUGUCCAUUUCAAUUUAGAUUUCAAUAUGAAAUCCAGUAAGAACUAAACGGCCAAUGCUAGUUCAAUUCAAACGACAACAAUACAGCAAAUUUGUGUCUACAUAUUACAAACUAUCCUUGAACAUUAAAGCUCGAAAUCGAGUUCGUUUUGUAUGUCAAGUGUAUACAAAAUCAUCAGCCAUAUUAUAUCAUUUCUGCAUGGUUAGAGAGAGGAACCUUCGCUUCGAUUUGGCUUUUGAGAUCUGAAGAUGGAACUGCGAUCAUCAAAUUUUGGGAGCCAGUCGUUAGUUGCAGGAUUGCCUUUGUAGCCACCAUGAAGAUGAACCCUCCCAUUUGCAACAUCAUUAAUAAACUCUUGAGUUUUUUUCUGAUUAUGGACUCCAUUUUCUCCUCCUUCAUUUCCUACUUGUAUGAACCCACUCCCUGUCUACUCCCUCCAAAAUCGUCACCAAAAUCAAUAAUAAUAACAAAGAAUUAACUCUCAUAGUUAUUAAGAUUUACCUUUUUAUAAAAUCAAACGUUUUUACAAUAAAGUUGAUGAAAACUUUUCGAUGAAGAACUUAGGACUUGGGACUUCUUGGGAAGACUGAAAUGUAAGAGGUUAAUCGUAAUGUUGACAAAAGAAGGAGACACUAAGUUUCUUUAGAAAAUUUACAAAGAAUGAACACUUUUGAAAAGAAUAUUUUGUUUACUCUAACACUCUGUUCACUUUCACUCAAAGUUUAGUAACUCUCUCUCUCUUCAUCUCCUUGUUACUUUGCUUGCUUACGUUUUUUGGUUCACAAAGGAGGAUCACACCUUCUUUUUAUAGAAAUGAAAUAUUUGGAGCCCAAGCUCUAAAGGAAUUCAUAAUUCUAUUGAAUCCCUUAACCUAAAUAAGAUCUAUUAUAUUUCACACUUUUUCUUUUAGAUAUUUAUUUACAUCUUUCAACAUAAUUUUAGAAAUUUAAUCUACCCAUUUAAUAUUUAUGUUUAGAUUGAUAGUCUUUAAUUCUUACACUCCUUUCUCACCACUUUUCAAUAAUCCUCAAUACGUUCUAUUAGUAAGAAUGAUUUUUCCAAACAUCUCCGAACCUUAAUGAUAAGAUAUUGUUCAACGUGGUCAUAUACAUCCCCAGCUUUACUUUUGUUUUCCUCCAAAAUAGAUAGAUUGUCCCACCUAAUAUAUUAUGAUCAUCCUCUUAUCUGAGCGACGUGAGAUUUUGGUAGUAUUCCCUAACCCAUUCCAACCUCCCAAACAGGUCUUUGAUGGUAAUAGGUUUCACAGCUAGCAUAUCAGAUAUAAUCUAAUUUAAACUUAAAACAAAUCACCAUCCUCAAUAAACACCAAAAAAAAAAAAAAAAAAAAAAAAAAUGCGGAAGAGAAAGAGAAACCUUAUGAUGACGUUUUUCAAUCGAAUCCAACUCCUUGUAAUAUUCUGUCUCCACAUAGUCCUCCUGCACCAAACAAUCCCCAACUCCCAAGCGAAAAGCCUGUAAAAAUUCUUCAAAAGUUCAUGCCCAGAUCACGAUUCUCGAAGAAAAAACCAAAUGUAACGAAUGGAGGAAUAGUACAUGAGAUUUCGACUGGAGAUUUCUGAGCUUAUCAAGCUCCGGAAUUGCCUUUUUUGAGGUGAAUCCAGAUGGGUAUUGAGUCAAGGGAUCGGAUUCGCUCCGGCUCGGUUUCAUCGGCCGCUUGGGGGCGAUGGAAUCAAACUGGGCUCUGAUGUGAUCAGUGAUUCGCAUCUGUUCCUCGUUGUCCAACACGACGUCGCUCCGGCUUGGCUUGGUCGCAGUGCACCGCGGCGCCGCCAUGGAGUUGGUUCUGGUCUAGUUUGGUUGUUGAAUUUGAUUGUGUUUGGCGGUGGUUUAAAUAAUAUUAUAUAGUGGGGACAAAAGCCAUGGACGUCCAAAGUUUGAAAGUGAGUGUUUCUGUCUUGGAUUUGGAUAGGAAUGCGAGAUUUUGAUGGGCUUCCCAUAAAACCAAUAAAAAUAAUUGAGACAGAAUAGAAGAAACUACGCUUUUUUUUUCUCCAAUAAUUUCUUAAUGAGUUGUAUCUAUUUGUUGUAGUUUGAAAUGUGUUCAGAUUUACUUAGGAAUGUUAUAUAAUGGAUGGUGAUAUAUUAUAAUAUAAAUUUUAUUAUAUAAAUUUAAUUUUAGAUAGAGUUCAAAAUAACUAAUUUAAUGAGUUCUUAAAUUCAUAUUAUUAAAAAGAUAAGUUAAAAUUUAAUGAGUAUAUGUCAUACAUUAAAACUAUAGGUUAAUUUGAGAAAUUUAUAUAUGAAUAUGACUCAAAUUUGGUUUAAAUUAAAUAUAAGAUAUUUAGGAGAAUUAAUUAAUAGUUUUAGUUUAAUUCUAUUUAUUUAAUUUAAUUAACUAAAUUAAAAACGAGAGAUAUUCAUGUAAAUAAAUUAUUGAUUAAAUCUAAUUUAAUUAUUUGAUUAUUUAUUUAUUUAUUGGAUAGUUCACAUAAAUGUAACGAAAACCUAAAAUUAUUUAUGGUCCGUGUAACAGAAAGUAAAAACCCAUGAAGUUACCAUUGUCUUUUCGUAAAUUCCAAAUUUGUCCUUGAAUAUUGUAGAUGAUUCGUCAGUUCUUUUUUUCUUCUUCUUUAUGAUUUAUUCAUCUUCUUUGCGAUUUCUUCAUCUUCUCGUCCAAAUUUUCUUUCUUCUAUUUUUAAACAAUUUAUUUUUCGAUUUAAAUCUUCUAUUUCAUCUUCAUCAUUUUCGACAAGAUUCAUUAAAGCUAUUUCAUAAUUGUUUCAAUAUUCUUCUUCAUCUUAUCAUAUUUGAGAAUAUCAAGAUCGUUUACCUAUCUUUUUAAAUUAUCAACACAAUCGUUUACCAUGGUCAAAAUGAUCGUUUAAAUUUAAUUUAGGGUUGUUUAAUAAGAAAUUUUAGACCAAUCACAACUUGCCACGUCAUUUACCAAAUUAAUGAUGAAAAACAUAUAUAAUUGAAUUUGAGAAUAAUUAAAAGUUGACAUGUGUCCCAAAUUGAAAUUGAAGACAUAAAUUGGUCAAUUAUGAUGAUGUUACGUGUUUUUAUCAUGAUCAUUGGAUCAAGUUAAUUAAGUAUUAUUUAUUUGGGUUAAAAUUCAAUUGAGCCAAAAAAACUAAGCUUAAUUUAACUUAAAUAAUAAAUAUGAUUCAAAUCCACGUAGUUGAGCCCAUGAGUCUUGUUUAUGCAUGAACUAACAAAGCUUAAUCCCAUAAAGCUCAUCAGAGAACUCUAUAAAGAGAGGAGUUCUCUUCAUAUGCGGGGACAUAAUAAAUAUUUACUACAAAAGGUCAGAGAAUUCUUCCAAAAACCACAAUACUCCUUAACUCUUAAAGUCAACCACCCUUGAAAUUGAAAUAUUUUUUAACAUCACAUGUUCCGCUUCCUGAAAUUAAGCGUAAACAUUCAUCAGAAAGAGAAUCAAAGGAUUAAAUACUAGAUAACGAAUUGCAUCGUAUCAUAAUCCAUAUCAACCCAAGUUCAACUCCACGAAUUAAAUUUCUCUUCAAAUCGCGUAUAAACAAAGAUUUUUUUGUUAAUCAAGAGCAAUUAGAGUAAAAUUUUUAUCUGAGUUUUUAUUGUGCAUGUCUAAUUUUCUAUCACAUCAAACUCACAAUAAGCUUUUUUUUAUGUACUAGAAAAUUGAAAUAUAAUGACACCAAAUAUGUGUUACCAACAGUUGCCAUGACACAUAUUUUGUGUCUUUGAAACCCUUGUAAAGAUAGGACAUUUAAUUACACAUCACUAAAGCGUCGUAUAUUACUUAAACAACAUUUGAUUUGAUGUCAAUAAUCAAUUUCUCUUGCUAUUUACCAUCUGUCACUAUUAAGUGGUAAUUAGAUAAUUCUACAUUUUUUCUGGUGAAAAAAAAUCCAAUUUCAAGUUGUCAUGCUUUCGUUUCGGGAUAAUCGGGCUGCCCUCUAGCCUUUCUAUUCCACCGUUUCUUGUAAUCACUUUUUAUUAUUAAUGAAGUGGGGCUAAUGCUGAUGCUUUGAAAUGUCCUCCAUGUGGAGAUAUCCUUGCAUCAGCUAUCCCAAACUAUCCUUAUAAAAGACAAAAAAGUUGUGGUCAGAUGUGUUUAAUGUAAUAAAUCCAACUGCGGCAACAAUGAGGAUGGGUUGUGUGAUGGUGGCUGAUGGAAAGAGUGACAGUAGUAAGGGAAAGAAAGGAAACAAAAAAGACUCGCGAAUUUGAUGAAGAUCUAAAAUUAGCGGUGGAAGAACGAACGAUCGGCAAAUUCAUUGAUCUUGGCCGGUGGAUGGGGCGGCUUCCAUGCCAAAAGGUGGGGAAAUGGGAUGGUGAGGCCUAUUUUGGGAGAUGGUGAACUUUUAACUUGGGGUUUAUUUUACUUACUCUAUUUUGAUUUAAUGAAAAGAUAAAUUAAUGAUAAUUAAUAGGUAAACAAUGACGUUUAAAAAUUUUAGUUGUUUAGUGACAGUUAAAAAAUGUCAAGAAAAAGCAUGAAUCCCAAAGUUCCAUAUUUUCAUGCAAAAAAAGUACGCCUUUUUUUUUUAUUAAUGACACAUAUUCCCCCGAAACCUGUUUCCAUUAUUGAAGUUCCAAAUUGUAGUAGUGAUGGUCCACCUUCAGCACUAGUUGACGUUUACCAACAUUCUUAUGGUAAACCUCUCACUAACUCCUCACAAGGUAGGAUAGUAUCGACAAUACUUCGACAUUUGACAAAGGCAAACUGAUUUAGACUAAUCAAAUAAUUAAGGAUCGGAACUUGCACAUAAAACCAAUUCACAAUAAUCUUCCUAAUGCACUUAUACAAAACAUUACAACAAGAAAUUGGCCUCAAGUCUCCAAGGAUCUAUAGGCCACUACAUUUAGAAACCAUUGUGAUUAAUAUAUAUCACAUUUAUACUUAGGGGAAAGGGAAAAAAAAGUACAAAAACAUUCAAGACCACAUCACAAAAUUCCUGCCCAACACGGCAUUUCAAGCAGAUAUUCAUAGAAACUCAAAAAGUAACCAUCAGGACUAGUAAUCUUCCUACUCUCCAUCGAAAAUAUAAUAGACACCCAAACCUCAUAAUUAGUAAUGGGCUGACACAAAACCUUACUAUACCCCUUAGGCUAAGUGAAGUCUACAAUAUCUAAUAUCCCUAUAAUAAUCCAAUAUAAAAUAAAGUUGGAAUUAAUAUAAUCUCUCUUUUAAAAAAAAACAAUCAACUGAUAUGAUAUGUAGUUAAAUUUAAAGUUUGGAAUUGAGUAAUCUCUCCAUUUAAAUAAUUUUAAUGAGGUGGCAUACACUUUGAUAAUAUUCGAUCGUUUAAUUAAUUUAUGAUUGAACAUUCGUACUAAUUAUCAUUUGUUAUCCUCCAUCAAUUUUGUCACGUUGUUUGUUAAGUAUAAUAGAGUGUGUGCAUUCGAGAAUUAGACCCUCAUAAUUAAUCGUUAGGUCAUAUAGAAUAUCAAAAUCGAGUGUUAUGAUUGCUUGACAUCAAAUUUGUCAUUUAUUAAUCAGAAAGGAUAUAAUUAUGGAAAAAACUUCAAAAGUAUAAGGAACUUAAUACUGAGGAUUUUAAAAGAAAUGUUAUAGAUUGGAAUAAGAAAGUUGGUAUAAUCAUUGAGCGAUCGUUAAUUAUUCAAAGUUUUGAAAAACGCAAAGACUUGAUUUUUCCCAUUCUUUAAAAUUGAAGACAUGCUUUCCAAUAACUUCAUUGAACUUGACCUGUGCAUUGGUCACUUGUGGGUCAACCUAUAAAAGCUACAACCAACAUUGCAUACCUUGAAGAUAAGAGUGGAAAGAGAAAAUACCUCAAAAGUUUUGUUUGGUAGUACAGUGAUAUUCAAUAAAAUAAGCCCUCACCUUUAACUUUCAAAAAAGAUUGAACUUUGAUAUGAUAUACAUUUUCACAAAGCCCACUUAUAGAAUGGAACCCCCUAAAUUUCAAUUAUUAACUUAUGGUGGAAGUGAGUUAAACUAAGUAGAAAAACCCAUAAACAAUUACUAAAGAGGUAAAUAAGAUCUGUUUAUGGACUUACAACUUGGUUCAAUUUCUUAUGAUUAUUUUGCUUUCAAUCUAACAUUUAAAAAAAAAAAACUAUAGUAAAUUUAACACUCUCCUAACACAUACAAAUUUGUAAAAUACCCAAAAGAAAAAAGUACACAUAAAUAUUAAUUGAAGGACGUGAUACAUUGAAAAGAUUAGAACACAUAAGACCUUUUGGUUUAAUGCUAUGUUAAAUUAUAUUGCUUAUAAAUUCAAAACCUCAAGUAGAUGAGUUUGGUUAAACGCUUGUAAGACUUAGUCCAAACUUAGUCCAAACCUAAAUAUAACAAAGGCUGUAACCACACGCUUGUAAGACUUAGUCCAAACUAUUUGAUAGAAGUUUUGCCAUAACUGGACGAGGUUUACACAUAACCCAAUAUAACCAUUAAAAAUUAAAAUAAUAACUAAAAUGGAAAACACAUACCUAAAAGCUUUAUUACCCUAUACCUCCCCCUAAAAAAUAAAAUAAAAUAAAAGGAAAUUAAGGGAAAAACUUUAAUCAUUCCCAUGCUUUUUUAUCCUUCCCUAUUGCGUAUUCUUUUGAAAAGCAAACUAAGCCAAAAUUUUCUUCUCUAAUCAAUAAUGGCAAUAAUGCUCUUCCUCUCCCACCUCCUUCCUCUCCUACUUCUUCAAUUCUCUUCCUCUUUAGCUUACUCUCCUCCAAAUAAGUAUUUUCUCAACUGUGGAUCGGAAUCCGACACAGAACUCAUAAACAAGAGACGGUUUGUUGGUGAUGCCAAACCCAAUGAUUGGUCAAUCUACCCCGGGAAAAGCAAAAUAGUUCAGAACACCACCAUCCCAAAAUCCAUAAAUGAAAUAUACCAAACAGCAAGAGUUUACAAUAAGGCAACAUGGUAUGUGUUUCACAACAUCACUCCAAAUGGAACGUAUGUGGUUCGUCUCCAUUUCUUCCCAACUUUACCUCAAAUUAUGUCUCAAGCUCGGUUUAAUGUCUCAGUCAGUUGUGGGUUUGUAUUGCUAUCAAAUUUCUCAGUUGAAAACGAUUUGAAGGCAGCAGUUGUUAAGGAGUUCGCUUUCGCAGUUAACGACGGGCCAUUUGGCAUCGGAUUCUCCCCUAUGGAAUCGUCUCUGGCUUUUGUUAAUGCCAUUGAACUCUUUCUUGCCCCUGGGGACUUCAAACCAGAUUCAGUUUUCCCUAUUUCUCCAGAAGUAAGAAGAAUGAACACUAUGUAUACGUUGACUUUCGAUGCAUGGAAUGCUGUAUACAGGUGCUAAAUCUCACUUCAUCUCUAAUUAUUUUAUGGUAAUUUUUCAAUCUCUGUUUAAUUUUCCAAUACCCAUCUAAUUUUGAUAUUAAAUCUAAAGUACAAAUUAUAUAGAAAAGGUUACUUUUUAAGACAUUGCUGAAUAAAGUAUGUACAUCUUCAAAGUUUUCCUCAACUUAAAUAUAUAUAAUUUUUUACUUUGUCCUAUUUAGUAGACGAAACCUCAAUUAUUAUUUUAGUUAAUUAAGAUGUUAAAAGCUUUCUUAUUUUUAUAGAUGGGAUUAAGCUUUCAAAAAAAUUAUAGAGAUUUUUUCAAAUAUAGUACAAUGAACCAAAAUAUUUGAAUAGAAUCUAAAAUUUUGUAAUAUUUUGACAGUCAUUUAUAAUAAUUAAAAAAAUAUAUGUAUAUUUAUUUUACUUUAUUUCAAAAUUUUGAAGCACUUACAAUUCAAUAGUCAAUAUAUAACUGUCUCUCGUAGUAACCAUUGAUACUUUUGUUUACCUCUAGGAUGGAAAUGUUAUUUUGACAAACUACUAGAGCAUGGUAUUAAAUCACUUUUAAAUCUUAAAAGUUAAGUUGUACUGACCUUGUGAAGGACAGGGUGUGGAUGGGUAGAGGGAUGAUCACUCCAGAGAAUGACACAUUAUGGAGAACUUGGCUCCCAGAUUCUGAAUUCAUGCCUCUUCAAUCCUCUGCCAGAACUGUCACCUACAAUCAAAGAUUAAAUUACGAUAUACAAGAAACAAUUUACGUAGCCCCAGUCUUCGUUUACAAUAAUGCAAAGGUAUUGGAUAUGAACACCAGCACUAGCUCAGGAGAUUCAACUCUAACUUGGAUUUUUAAUGUGAAGAAGAAAUCCAAGUAUUUUCUUCGCUUACUCUGGUGCGACAUCAUUACCCCACAUUCAACACCUUUCUAUUUUAAUAUAUUCUUUGAUAUCAAUCAAACUGACCUCCGACCCACCGAUGUUACCCAAAACAAUGUGUUCGCAUUGCCAUUUUGGUACGAGUUUCUCAUCGUUACUGACCAUUCGGGAUUCUUCAAUCUGAGUAUAAGUCUCGAUAAAAAAGAUCCACUUUCAUGGGGAUUCUUGAAUGGAAUUGAGAUUAUGGAGUUAAUUGAGAAAUCAUUUGUGGGUGUUGUUGAUUUAAGCAUGGGAGAGGAGAAACAGAGUCCAAAGAUGAUUAUUGUUGGGGUUUGUGUUGGUGGGGUUGUGAUUGUUGGUUUGAUAAUUGGAUUGGCUGUGUUUUGUUUUGUAAGAAAUAGGAAGUUAGGAAAGCAUCGUCCUAUUCUUCUUCCUCAAAAUGAUCCGUCCUCGGAGAAGAUUGUGUCGAUUGCGGAUAUUGCUCCUAAUUUGAACCUUGAACUCAAGAUACCCUUUGGGGUAAUAAAUGAUGCAACUAAUGGAUUUGAAGAUAAGAAAAUGAUUGGUAUUGGAGGAUUUGGAAAGGUUUAUGUUGGGAGAAUUGGAGAGAAGGAUGUGGCUGUGAAGCGAAGUCAACCUGGACAUGGACAGGGUAUCAAGGAGUUUCACACAGAGGUUAUUAUAUUUUCUCAAAUACGACAUCGUUUUCUCGUUUCGUUAUAUGGGUAUGUUCUACCAUUACUCAACUUAACUUUAAAUUUUCUUUCAAGUUUGUUAUGUGUUUUGAUUACUAUGCCACUUUGUUAGUCAUUUGAUUAACGUUUUGAUUUAUGGAUUUAAUUUUCUUUUGUGUUCUACGUAUUUUCAUCAGGUAUUGCGAUGAAAACCAAGAGAUGAUCUUGGUUUAUGAAUACAUGGAGGGAGGAACUUUAAAAGAUUAUUUAUACGGUUCAAAGGCUAAAGAUAAUGUUCCAUUGACAUGGCAAAAAAGGCUUGAAAUUUGCAUCGAUGCAGCGAAAGGUCUUGAUUAUCUACACACUGGCUCCACCGCCACCAUCAUCAUACACCGAGACAUUAAAACCACAAACAUCCUACUCGACAAAGAGUUGAACGCAAAGGUUGCCGAUUUUGGGAUAUCCAAAACUGGAGUUCCCGACGCCAAAGAAUUAGACACUACCAUUAGAGGCACUUAUGGAUAUUUGGAUCCAGAAUACUUCAACACUGGUCAGUUGACAGAAAAAUCUGACGUUUACUCCUUUGGCGUCGUGCUUUUCGAAGUUCUCUCGGCCAGAGCACCAAUCGUUAAGACCGCUCCAAGUGAAGAGACAAACUUAGCUGACUGGGCAGUUCUGUGCAAAAGCAGAGGAGAGAUUGAAAAAGUAAUCGAUCCUUUUCUUAUCGGAACAAUCGAAGCGAACUCGUUGAGAAAGUUCGUGGAAGUUGCAGAGAAGUGUGUGGAUGAAGUUGGGGCGAAUAGGCCUUCCAUGCAUGACGUGGUCUAUGAUUUGGAAUUGGCUUUUCAGUUUCAGUUCACGCCUGUAGGGGAGGGGAAGGCGUAUGAAGGGAUGAGCACCACCAUCGUCGAAGCUCCAUGGGAGAUUGAUUCAGGGAUUCUUGAUCGAAUUCCUUCCAAGGGAAUCGAUGAUUCAGUCAUGCUAGAUGAGGAUAGCACCACUAUGAAUGCUAGAGAAUUGGCCGCUGAGUUCAAGAUUGAUUGUGCCAGAUGAAUUGCUGUCAUGCCAAAGUUUAGAUUAUUGGCUUCUUUUAGAUUCUGCUUUUAGUCAUCAACUAUGUACUUUAUUAUCUCUGUUAAAGUGUAUUGUAUGCAGCUUACACAUUUGGAGGGUCGUUUGAUGGCAAAUUUGAAAUCUUCAUGUUUGUAUAUAUUAAGCAUCUACGGUUAAUUUAGGGGUUGAGAUAGUCUGAAUUUAAACGUGUAUGUGUUUGGAACUUUGAGUUUAAUUAUAAGUUAUAUGUUUGGAGUGCAAGUUUAAGAAAAGUGAUAUUAGUGUAAAUUUAAAGAUGUUAGGUUGGUCUGGUGAUCUUCUAUAUAAACUACCACCGUUUUUGGAAACUCUUUACAACAGUGUUUGGCUUAUUCAAUGUUUUCAAUUUGUUUGGCUUUGUUGUUGAAAUCUCAGUGACUACUAAUACAAUAAUAUUCUAUAUAUAAUUAUUUCAAAAUCAUACUGCAAAUCUUAACUCAUUUUUCAAAUCUUCUCAAAAUUUAACUAUUCCAAAUCUCCGCCAUGCACACUACAAACUUUCACACUAUUUAUAGUAAGUAGGAAAAUAAAUAAAAAAGCAUCAAUAUUAAUAUUAAUACAUGUAAAGUCUUCAAGAAGACAUCAACAAUUUGUCAAUGUGUAUUUGGUUCAUUAAUGCAUCUAACCACAUUUUAGAAAAAUUGCAUCACACAACAAAAAAAAAAACCUUAAAAUAUAGCUGCUCAUAUAAUUUUUUUUUUUUGCCUAUUGUAAAUAUGACAAAUAUAACAAGUAAUUAAAUAUGUUGGAAGCUUAUGAAAAAGCUAUCCACUAUUAAAUUUGCUAUUUUUAUAAUCUAUAAAAUGUAGUAACUAUUACUCUUAAAUUUGCUAUUUUUAUAAUUUAUAAGAUGGAGUAACUAUUUAGGUGGGUAAGUAUAAAUGUAAUUCAUAUACCCACUUAUGUCCAAAUUAAUUUUAAGACAAUGCAGAUAGGAUAAGAGUUUUUGAACCUCUCCAAGCUAAUUUUUAAUCUCUCUUCACAAGUCAAGUUAUAUUCAUGUUGAAAAUAGAUUUGCUAUUUGGAGAGUAUAUAUAAAAGAUAGUUUGCAGAAAAUAAUAACUAAACAAUCAUUUGAUGGAAGUACGAAACUAUGUUUUUGUGAGAACCAACGUUUUACUCUUUUGGUAGAAAUAGAAUAGAAUAACAGUAAUAUAAAAAGUUGUUGGAGAUGGCAUGAGUUAGCUUUAUAUUUUUUCUAACGUAGAGGUGUAUUCAUUAUAUUUGUAUCAAACAAAGUCUUAGCAUCUGGUUUUGAAAACAGUAGAUUUAAUUUUUCUAUCGAAUAUUUUCUUUAUUUGAAAUUAUGCGGCUGAAUUAUAUUUUUCCACACGUUUCCCUUCUUUGAAGAGUGACUGAUCUUUUCUAAUGGGUGUUGUUUUUCUUUAGGUAUUAAAAUGGUUAAAGUAAUUUAUGAACCUUGUUUAGGGUUUCCAAAUGUGGCUAUUGAGCAAGUUGAUUGUGUUCCUCAUGAAAGCCGCAUAUUUGUUCAACGAGAAAGAGUUUCUUCCUGUACGAUGGUUAUUCUGUUCUACAUUUUCUUCCUUGCUUGAUUGCUCACUGUGUAUUCCUUUGUGUAAGUUUCUUCAUUUAAUUGCAACACAUUGAAGAUAAACACAAUUUUGGACCCCUAGGUCCCUAAACCAUUAUGUUGUUGAGAAGGAGAGAUUUUCUCAGUAGAUCACUCAGCCAUAGAGAAGGAGUUUUCUAUCAUAUGGGAAGCCUAAGAAUCAUUCAUGGCGAGAGAGUUCUCUAUCUUACUGUCAAAAAUUAUUUUAGUGAAAUCACUAAUAUUACCAUUCUAGCCUAAGCAUAUAGAAGGUGAGAGGAUCUGAAGCAUACAUACACACACUCGAGAGGGAGUCUCACAUUUAAGGAGAGCCUAGGCGAUGAUCAUUGAAUUAAACUCUACAUAUAAGUCAUCGAUAAGAGUAUUGCAGAUACAUAGUACCCCCAAAAUGUAGUAUAUCGUUGAACAAGGUUACCGACUUUUGUGUCUCCUUUUUUUUUACUCAAUAUUGUGUUUCAAUUGUAUGUGCUUCUCGUUUGACAUCCGCAACUGUGUGACAAGUCACUCUAACGCUUUUUCAAAAGUAAUAAUUAAAAUUAAAUAAAUGUAUAAAUGAUUAAUUGAUGUAUAAGGUUGUAUUCAAAUAUAGUUAUAUGAGUCAACUUAUUUACAAAUAUAGCAAAAUAUAAUUUUAUCUAUAAUUAGUAUCUACUUUAGUGUCUACCACUAAUAAACAGUGACACUUGACUGUAUUUAAAAAUAUUUGUAAUCAUAUAUGUAAAGUGUUGUUAAACACCAGUAUUGUAGAGUGGAUGUUUGUGUGUGAGCCAUUGGCAAAAGUUUAGUUAUAAAACAAAACCAUACAACUAAGCAGGAAGAAAACCAGCUGGGAGAGAGAUUAUAAUAUGCAAUGUUUUGGGUUAUUCAAAUUCAAUCUCCCAUUUCUUUCUAUAAUUCUUUUCUUUAGUUAAUCUCAAGAAUUGGAAAGGGGUGAAGGGUGACUUUUUUAGAACUGCAUGGCUUGAUUGGUUUGGUUGAAAAUUUCCCCCCAGAAACAAAAAAAAUGAAUAGGAGAAACUCUAAGUUGAAUUAUGAGGGUUUUGUUAGAAUUUUUCAAGUUGAGGAUUGACUUCAUUGAAUAACGCUUAGUGUCAAGGUGCAUAUAUACUGUUGACAUGGCCCUGUUUUAACUUUAGGUAGGGUAAUCAGGUAAAGAAAUAUCUUUUUAGGCAUUUUACUAAAGUUGGAAAACGAAAGCAAAGGAAAAGGAAAAGUUAAUUAAAGGUUAUAUUGGUAGCAACUUUUAGGAUAGCAAUGUCCAAUUAAGGUAUUCCUGUGAAGUUAGUGUUUAGUUAGAAAGGGACAGAGACAAGUGGAGCAGCACUACUUGAUUCAUAAAAAGAAGAGAAGUAUAAAGAACUUGGUGGAAAGGAGGCCAUGAAUGGACUAGAUUAGAGAUGAAUAAAAGGGGGAGAAAGGUGAGACUGAAAGAUGAAGACUGUGGGUUGUUAAAGAAAAUUAGUGUCACAGUUCUCUCUUAAAUGAAAAAUUAAUUGUAUUGUUCACUUUUGGUACUUUCAAUUUCUCCAUAAACGUGCUUAGUUACAAAAAGUAGAUGAAAUUUAUAAUAUAUUAAAUAGUGCUACAAACUUUGAAAAUAAUUAUUGGGGCACUGACAAAAAAAAAAAGUUUAAAACAAUUUAUAAUAAUUUAGCUGAUAGUAAACCCAUUUAUUAUUUGUACAAAUUACACAAACAAACAAAGUUCAAACUCAUAAAUAAGUCAUAAAUAUUGGAGGUAAAAUGUCAUAAAUGUCAUUGUUACUAAUAUAUAUCUAGUACACACUUGAUAUUUCUUGAUACAUUUAAUAUAUUUGAUAUACUUCUUGAUGUCUUUGAACCAACUUGAUACACUUGAUCCAAUCGAUACUAUUUGAUGCACCUAAAACACUUUAAUAUAUCUAAUACUCCUUAUUACACUUAGUUCUUCUUGUUACACUUUAGAUUCCUUGGACCUUGAUACAAUUGAUUAGUUUGAUAGAUUUGAAUUCUUCAUUCAUAAAUUUGAUACACUUGAUGCACUGUUGAUAAACUUAUCUUUCUUUUACUAGAAUACUCAACGAAAUUGAUAUACACUUGAUACACAUGGAACUUUUUAUACCCAAUUUACUGCAAAUUGUAACCCCCAGAAAUUAAAGUAAUUUUAAAAUUUAAUUAUUUUAGUUUAAUUUAUUUAUAUUAGAAUUUUUUAGGGUGUUAUUUUAAAUUAUUGGUGAGAUUUGUUUAAUUUUGUGGAAAUUAUGAUUAAUUAAAUAAUUAGUGGAAGAAUAUUUAAUUAAUUGUAUUAUUGUAAAUUUUGGUAAGAUUUAAGAUUUCAGCUAAUUAUAUAUAUGCGUGUGUAUAAUUGGUUUGAUUAUGGAAGAUUAAUAAUAAUUAUGUUAUUGGAAAUAUUAUAAGUGUUUGUUAAGAGAUGAUUUGAUAGAAUUUUAAAUGAGGAGAGAGGAGGAGUUAUUUAUUAUUUUGGAAAAGGAAAAGGAAAAAGAAGUAUUUAAGUGAAAAGGAAAUAAUAAUAAUUAUGAUUAUUAAUAAUAUUAUUAUUUUAUUUUAAAAACACCUAAAAGUGCAUGCACCAUCUUCAACCUUUCUUCUUCCUAAAAAAUCCCUAGUACUGCCACCCCUCUUCACCGUUCGGUUGGUGCUGAUUUUCGUCUCAUCAACGACCGUCGUUGCUCAGUCCUGGCUCGAAUGAAGUUGUUUGUCUCGUUCAAAGCCCAACCAAGUCGCGCGAUAUUUGUCAAAGCCAUGGCGGAACGCAUGCCAACAACUACUACAACAAAAAAAUAUCUAUUACGACAGCUGUGUACAUCCCAAAAUUAAAAGAAGGAAAAAAAGACUGUCACAAAAGCUAAAAAUUUCUGUUUUUGGCGAAAAAAAUAUAAACUUUUUGUAUUUCACUCACCGCGACAGUUAUUUAGUGUCAUACAAGAUAUAAAAAACAAUUUAUUUAAUUUAUUAAAAUAAAAUUCAUUUUAAAUCAAAAAGUUUAUUAAAACCAAAAUUUUCCCUAAUUCUAAAAACAUUAAAUAAUUUAUUUAUUAAAAUAAAACUUAUAAAAUAUCUCCAAACUCUUUCUCCACCUCCUCUUCUCUUCUUCUUCUUCUUUUUUUGUGGAAGACCCACGUGUCAUUCCUCCUUCUCGAUUUUUUUCUCCCUUCUGCUAACCAUCUCUCUCCCUUUCUCACGCACGUCGGAAACGACACGACUUUUCGUCGACGACAUGUCUGAAAUCUCCCUCUUUGUCUCCUUCAAUCGACGCCACCACCCAACACCCCUUGUGCGCUGAACUCGCCGGUGAAUCUCAGUCGUCGCGCGCGGUAGCUAUUUGGAGAUCAAGCCUAUCGUUGUCUAUCUCUAUUCUUCGUUCAUAUUAAACUUCUAGAGUAAGAUUUUUGUGUUUCGGGAUUGUUUUGUUAGGCGAUUUUGAAUACUCGUUAUUUUUAGACUUGAGUUUAACAUUAUCCAUUACUUUUCGACUCCAGUUUUAGAAGCAUUUAAGUCCAUAUCCAGCCUUUCGGAAAGUCGUACUUGGGCAUUUUGGCACAACUUGGGUGAGAUUCUAAACUUUAUUAAGUAGGUCUUGAGUACCUAUUGUGUUUCAACUUGAAUUAAUCAGUACCCAUAAAGUUUGGAUGCUAAAUUGGAGUUCUUGCAAGGCCUUAGCUACUAAUUAGCUGAGAAAGAGUAAAAUUAAGGCUACCUUUAUAAGUGAAUUAGUAAGAAAUUUUGUGAUUUUAGUAAGUUUUGUUAUUACCCGAUUAGUUUCGAUAUGAAAUUUCCAUUACCAUGUUGUUGAUUGGAAGAAUUUAGACUCUAGAGAACUAUGGAGUAUUGUUCACCGCACUUAAGAUCGUUAGUACAAGUGUGAGUAGGCUCUUAAUUAGUGUUAACUCAUUAGUUGUUGAUGGGUUUGUUAAGUGUUAACUCAUUACCUGGUAUUUGAAUUUCAGUUCUUUUUUUGCCCCAAUUUAACUAGUUGAUUGAGUAGAGUGUCUCAUAGAUUGAAUUAUUAUGUCAAUAUCCAUUUUUGUUUAAAUGUUUAUAGACAUAUUAAAGUUAAAAUUUAGUUGUUGACAUACUUUUGAUGAUCAAGUGAAAUAGUUUCUUAAUUUUUCUGUUCUAUGUGAAGGGUGUAUGAAAAAAGAUGGGGACAGUUAGAUAUAUUACAUCUGGGCUUUUCUAGAGAAGUAUUAUAACCUCUUUUCGAGCUUUUAUGAAAAUAUGUAACAUUGAAAAGGUAUCUCAUGGGUAUUUUUUCAAUCUUAUUUUGUUGUGAUCAAUUGAGAUACAUAAUAUGCACUAUAAAUUUGUUAAAGUGUUGGACUUAUCUGUUUUUUUAAUAGGGUUGAAAGAAUGUCAAGGUACGUUUUGUUAAAGCAUAUUUUUAUUUUGAUAAAUUUGAAGUUGUCAAGUAUGUGUAUAAUAAUGAUAAUGUUAAUAUGAGUAAAUUUAUGGCUCUGUAUGACUGUGUGCAUAUUUAAGCUAAUGAUAUUAUGUAUGGAAGACAACUUGCACUAAAAGGCUUAGUAAAUAGUCACAAGGCACCUUUUGAAUUCAGUAGAUAGAAGAAACUAUUGUUGAGAUAAAAUACAAGGAAUAAAGAAAAGUUGUAUGUACUCAGAAUUCAAACUUAUUGGUCAUCAUCUGAUUAUCAUGCUAUAAAUGUUUUGGAUAGGCGAGAAGAGCUAUGAGUAUCAUGCACUAGAGUGACGAAGUUGAAUAUAAAAGAGAAAGACGUGCAAUUUUUCGCAAGGCAUAAUCAUGAUAAAUUAAUUUUCUUCCUUACAUUGUGCCAUUUUGCUUUGACAUUAUAGUAUACUUCUAACUUUAUGUCUCUCCAGCAUAUUUGAGAUGUUUUGCAAAAAAUAGUUAUGCUUGAAGUUGGACAAUAUUAUAUCAUAGUGUAGAAAUGUUUAGAGAUAAGUUAUUCUUAGUUUGUGUUUUGCAUCUGGAUUUUUUACUAAAACUUUGGCUUAUGUGACUUGUGUUUCAAAAGUCUAAGAUAAACUGUAUAGUAUGUACUGUUAAAUUAUUGCACAAUCUGAAUGCUUGAAUUUAUGAGUUAAGGUGAAUUCAACACUACUAUAAAACUCUCCCUCAUUUGUGAAAAUGAAAACUUGUAAAAUACUAAACUAAUACAAUCAAAUUCAUCAUGUGCAAAAUUGUUUCAUCAGUUUUGCAUGAUCAUAGAAAGCUUAUCUUCUGAAGCAUGUUAAUAUGAUUCUUGUACCAAGAUUUUCAAUAUCUUUUAACUCAUGUAGUAUUUUUUUUAUGUGAGAUCUUAAAACCCAUAUAUCCAAAUGCAAUGGGUCUUAAACCCUUUUCUUCCCUUUCUCUAAUCUUAUUUUUUCAGAUUUAGCCUCUUUGUUUACUUGUAAAGUAACAUAUUUAUCUUUAGUCUUUAAAAUGUGUGGAUGAAUUUUUGCCAUGUUUUCGAGUGGAUUACUUUGGUGAGGAGACAUGUUGAUCAAGUUGUAGUGAAUGAUGAAACGAUAUUCCCUCUCUUUAAGAAAUUUUGUAAGAUGCAAAAUAAAGGUUUCAAGUAGUUUGAUUUAAGCUUUGGUUUGGUAGCUAUUUUGUUUUUAAAUUUUUAAAAGUUAACCUAACGAUUGACAUCUUUCUAAAGUUCAAAAGUUGAACUCUUAGUUCAAAACUGUCUAGUACUCCAUGGUAUGCAUCUUUUUUCAUUCCUUUAUUUAUUUAUUUGGAGUUUUAGGUGUAUAUUUUUGUAUCUGAUGAAUUAUUUGGGUUUAUAGUCAAGAGGGUGUGUUUAGAUUUUAUUGUUUGAACUUGUUGAGUGAAGAAAUUGAUUGUUUGGUAUGCAUGAUCCUUGUUUUAGUAAAAAAAGGUAUUUUCAGGGAUGCUUUUGGAUGGUGAAGUUUAUUUUUUUUGGGAACCGUUGUUCUUUAAUUGAGUUGUUUAAUUGAAUUUAGUUCUUUGAGGAAACUUUAAGACGCUUUUUGUCCAUGUGUUUUAAGUAUUUUUUUUUGGUUAACUUGUAGUCUUUUACAUUUUCCCCACUUCUUGAUUUAUUGUUCUUGAUGGUUUAUUCACUUGUUUUCACAAAGUUUGCUCAAUUGGAGUUGCAAUGAAGAUCAAGAUUCAAUCGGAGCCAUUUUUUGGUUUUUAGACUACUUUAAUUUUAAUUUUAGUUGUCUUUCUCAGCAUGGUUGUCAUUUCCAUAACUGACUCUAACUUGUUACUUCCCUGCACAUAGAAAUAGGUUCAGAAUCUUAUUUAUGUAAGAUAUUUAUUAAGAUAAACCUUUAGCCAUGGAGAACAAAAGUAUAGAACUCUUAGUACUAGAAAUUUUCUUGCUUAUGUAAAAUUUGAAGUCUACAUUCUCUUGAUACUAAUCAGUGGGCUCUAGUGGCAGGGCCCUUCGGAUUCUGAAAAGUUUUGAAGCAUGGAAAGAAUGUCACGACCCAACCCAAAAGUGAGUGAGGUUCUAACACUUUCUACAGAUUGAAGUGUGUUUUUUCUGUAUAGUCCAUAACUUUCUAGCUAAUAAAAUGUACAUCUAUUUGCAUUACCCUUUUUUGUUGUUGUCCGUUCAAAAGUUUGGGCACGCUAGUUAUUAUCCUAUAAUUUCUAUUGUUUUCUUUUUUUCAAUCUUAAAUCAAUGGGAGUAUUAACUUAUGACAUAUAGGCUAAAGACAUGUUUUGUGUGUGCCAUUUUCAAUAUUUUUUAUUGUGUUGGGAGGGGGUUGGAAUGAAGAGUUGGGAUGUUCUUUAGUCAUACUCUAAAAUGAGUUAGGAUGUUCUUUAGUCAUACCCUUUUUUGUUUUCUUACUAGGUUUGGAAGAAUCUACUGGAGCAGUGAAGCCAUCUUGGAGCAAUUGAUUGAUAUAACGCUUUUUGUAUGGUUGAUAGCAAACUCUUGGUUCCAAUGUACUAAUUUUAGACUUCUUCGUAGCUAAAGAUGACAAUGUUUAUUAUUUUUCUCUGUAAACUACCUUUCAGCAAAAAAUGAUUAUUAGUCAAUGUGUGAUAUUAGUCAAUGGGUGUACGAAUAUUACAAAGUGCAUAAUUACGUAUAUAUAUUAAAGUGUUGACUUUUUGUUUUCAUAGGUGAGUGAUGUAUUAGAACAUUAUUGUUAUUGAAAUUAUUAGUGUAAUAGCAGAGCGAUAAGGAAAACAGGAAUUGAGGAAUAUAAAACAGGAAAAAAUGUUUUAGUAUACGAAUUCGUAAUGUUUUUUUUUUUUUUUUGUCGUCAAUAUCGGAACAAUGACAAUUUUAUUUUAUAAAAACUGUCACGAUUGGACUAUUCUUGACAGAGAAAAUAAUGUCAUAGUAUACUAAUUUGUGACAUUGUUUCAUAAUUGUGGUCAAUAUCGAAACAAUGACAAUUCAAUUUUAUAAAAACUGUCAUGAUUGUCCUAUCCUUGACAGAGAAAAAAUAUCAUAAUAUUUGAAUUCGUGACAUUUUUCUUUUUCAAAAACGGUCACGAUUGACAUAUCCGUGAUAGAAAGAAAAGGGUCAUAAUAUACGAAUUUGUGACAUUUUAGUAACUAUCGUCAAUAUACAAAUGAUGACAGUUAUUUGUUGUCAUAAAAUUAAAGAUGACAGUUAUAUAUUAUCAUAAAAGAUUACAUUUAUUUUGCGUCAUAAAAACACUUAUUGUGACAGUUUUUAUAGAAAGACUUUCCACAACAGGCAAUACUAUGACUGUAAAUAACUGUCACGGAUUUUAUUUGCAACUGAAAAUAACUUUCGUCGUAGACCAUUUUUGUUGUAGAGAACCUUACUGCUCUGAGCCUUGUUCAUAUCUUUGUUCCAAUCAAGUCGUCGUUCAUCGAUCUUCUUUCGUUGACCAAGCCUUUCGUCCCUGACUAAUGUCGCAAGCCGCGAACUCCCUAGACCUGAUUACAACAAUAAACUGUGCAAAAAUACUUAUCCAUAAUUAAUACAAUAAAUUGUGCAAAAAAAUUUAAAAAAUGGAAAUCAUAUAUUAACCAAUUAAUACAUAUAACAAAAGUAAAUCUCAACACUGAUAUACAAAGCAAAACCAAAAUAAAAUCAACGUAAAAAAUAAAAUAAAAUAAUUUGAAAUCAGAUUCUAGCUCUAAACUCAAGAAGUAGAAAGCAAUGAGAUAUGAAGUUAAAUUUCUCGUAUCCACGACAAUACUUUUUGAAAAAGAUACAAGAAGGGUUAGUAGGAUUUCAAAUACAUCAUAUUUACAACAAUUAUACAUCAGAUUUCAAAUACAAUAGAAACGAAAAGAAUUCGUGGAUGUCUAAUUGCAAUACAUUCACUUGGAAACAAAAAGAAUAAAUAAAUAAAAGAAGCAAAACAAGGAUUAAAACCUAAAAAUAUGUUCAAAUUGUUGAAACUACAAAAAAUCAAGCUCCUAAAACCACAAGGAUGAGAUUAAAAUCAAUAAUAAUGAAGGACAAAAAAUAAGAAUCAUAAAUCAAAAACUUCAUGAGUUUUGGAAGAUUUCCAACUAUUCACAAAUGAAUAUGUCCUCACCAAACCUUGAAAACCAAUUGAAACCUACUAAAUGAUGAAGAACGAAUUACGGAAAACGUAAGAGAAAACAUAAUUAGGACUUUAAAAAAUUGGGAGAAGAUAUACCUUCAACUGUAGUUUGGGAGUACUAACAAAUUUAAGAUGAAAAAUAUUUUAAAGAGUGAUAGUCUGUCAUAUUUGCAAAAUUCUAAAAGUGUGUAUCAGUUUUGUUAUGUUUUAUGCCCAUCAUUUUUUAAUUUGUUUUACUUCUUAUAUUUUUUGAAAUCUAAUAGCCCACAAAUGCGUUCCCUCUAAAAGUAUAGAUUAAUUUUCUAAUUUUUAUACUUUAUAAAAACUAAAUACGAGAAAAUAACUCGAACUAAAUCACAUCAAUCAAUUUAUAAGUAUAUAUAUAUAUAUAUAAAGAAAACAACUUCGAAAAUGAUUGAUAAACAUGUUAUUCAUUUAAAACUAAAAUUAAUUAAUUUUAAAAAUAAAAAUUAUUGUAAAUGACAAUUACUAAAACUAUUAAAAAAUAUAACAAAAAAAUUAGAUUAUAUCAAUAAUAGAUACUAAUAAAUUUCAAUAGACUUUUAACUGUGUGUCUAUCAGUCUUUAUCACUAAUAGAACCUGAAUAUUGACAAGGACUCAAACUUUACAAAAUGUUUUAUUUUCCUACUUUUGUUAAUCUCUUUAAAAAUGUUAAUUUAAUCACUCUUGGAGUAACUAUACAGUUUACAAUAAUAUUACAAAAAUAUAUAUAUUUAGUAGUUGAAACUUUCCUUAUACCCUUUUAAAUUUACAUUAUUUACGCGGAUAAAUAGAUAUUAAUUUUACCAUAUAUAAUAGGAAUAUUUUAAAAUAUAAAAAAUAAAUCAAAAUAUUUACCAAAUAUAAUAAACAUUAAAACCUAUUAUCGAUAGACUAGACUUCUUAUAGUACGAAAGUUUACUAUUAAGCUUUGCUUAAUUUAAUAUCAUUGUAUGACUGUGCGUUAUUAAUUAUUUGGUCAUUUUAUAGGUUUCGAGCAAACUAAGAAGACAAAUUUGGCUUCUACUUUGCAGUCAGCUCACUGCAAGGUAUUAGCCUAUUACUACUCGCAAAAUGCUCGCUCAUGGCACCAUAAUGCUACCCCAAGAGCGUCGUGGUGCUUUGAAGUUGUCCCACAUGUAAUGUAUUGUCAGAGCCACGAUGUUGUCCCUAGCACUGCGACACCAUCACAAUUUUACAAAUUAAAUUUCCAACCCCAGGUAUUUUCAUCUCCAAUUCCAACUGUCUAAAACACGUUUAUUUCUCUAUUUUUCUCGACCUCAUUUCAGUUUCGUUUAUGCACUCAAACAUCUUCCCAUUGCUCGGUAUGUUGAAAAUGAGCUAAGGUACUCUACUUUGCUUGGGUUAUUUAGGAUUUUUCAUAUUUAAAGGUAUUAAAUUAUAAUUUUUGAAUUACGACUUGAUAACUAAUUCAAUUAUGUUUUAUAUGAAUUUAUAUCUUGUUUUCAAAUGCACGGGGAAUACUUGAUUACCACUUUGUUGAAGCAAUAAAUUGUAGUUCUUUGCUAUUUGAUUGAAUUAGGAUUGAUAAAUCUAAUUUAGAAUUGAAUGUGCAUGAAAAUAUUUAGGUAGUUGAUAACUUGUAGAAAUACAAGUUAUUGUAACAUUUUAUGUAAAAUAAUGAGGACUAAACGCAUGAGAAUGGAAGAAACGAAGGAAAAGAUAGGUGAUUUGGCUAACCUGUAAAUAAUUUAGUGUAAAAGAGUCUUAUCCCUGUUUUACCGCGUUUCAGUUAUUAAAUCACAGGAUUCGUAGGCAAAAGAAGUAAAGCUCAACGAUUCAACGUUAGGAAAAAAUAAGCAUCCAACCAAGGCGUUAAGUAAAGAAAGCUAAACAUUUAGACUCACCACCAGACAAAAAUUGGUUCACACAAAAGUUGAAAAAGAACAAGAGGACAGUCUGCGAAGCGUCGCUCCAGCUUUUCAGAGCAUUAAAUGGUGCGUGAUCUCUUGUCAACAUCAACUUUUGUCUAUAAAUAGUCUCUCACUUCAUAACUUUGUGUGCAUAUUUGAUGACCGAAAGACCUAAAGUUAUUAUUUUCAAUAUAUUACAUUUUAUAUUUCAUUUACCAUACUCUUGUUUCUUCGCUCCUCUGUUAUGUUUAAUUAGCUUGUGUUGAUAAAAUGUACUAUUGAAGUCUUAAGGGUCAUAAUGUCUUUACUCUAAGUUUUGCUGAGUUAAGUGUGAAUGUCAAAGAACAUUGUAUAUUCGAAAGAAGAAUAAUGAGCUUGAUCAUGAUCAUCUGACAAAUCAAAACACACAUUUAACUAAGCAUUUUGCAAGAAGAGUGCAACAAUAUACUUUUAUUUCUAAGUUCAUCAUUUACAUACAUUGCAUAAAUGACAAUGUGUGUGGCGAAAGCACCGAGAGAUUGUCCAUCUUAAUCAAAGAAAAACAAUUUAUACUACAUAUAACAUGAUUAGACAUAAAUCAUAAGUUAACUCUAAGUAUUUGAAUCCCAAAAGGACAACAAGUAUGGUAGAGCAUUGAGAAGCAUCUUGCCUUAAUUUCGAGUUGAAGUAUGUUUUAUGUCGUCUAGAACCUUUAAGUGCAUUCUAUCACAUUUAGAUAGUUAAACCAUUUCUUCAUUGCCAUGUCUAUAAUAAGUUUAUUAUUCAUCUCUUUUCAUCUAGUCAUGCCAUCUUGGAUUGCCAGAAGCACCACAUGUAUAUAAUAGAGUAGAGAAUAGAUAAUAUACUAUUCAUAUAUACAACACUGUGUAGCUUAUACCACAUAGUUUUAGUAGCAUGAUAAGAUAAAAUAGAAACUUAAGCUCUCUAUGUUCAACCCUGGACUUACUAGGAAACCUCUCUUCUCUUGCACUUAGACAAAAAUGAGAGAAAAACUUGCACAAGAAUGUCUACCGUUUGCGAUUUAGCAACACAUGGAUAUGAUUGCACAUUUUAAAGUCAUACUCUUAUCUAGUCGCCACGUAUCCACUUCAUUAGAGCUCUUAACGCCACAUCUAUGGGCAAUCUUGCAUGUAUACACACAAUCAAAAGAUAAACGCACAUGUCACACAAAAGAAAAAGAAAACAAGCAUUAGGUGCUUAAAUUAUUCUACCUAAUAAGCCAUAGAAUCCUUAAUGUAGUUGAUAUUAAUUUGGAUUUUGUAUGCUUUUCAUCGGUUGGAUUGAUAUCAAUUAGUUACUUGAGACAGAUUGACUGGCUUUUGCAAUUGAUUUAGUUAAAUGAAAGCAACCUAGAAAUUUAGUAAUGAUAAACCCAUGAUUAAAUAAAGUGAACAAGGAGUUUUGUUUAACCCAAGUUCUAUUUUUUGAGAGUGAUUUUAGUUAAUUAAAUUUACUAUUUUUUUGUUAUUUUCUUUUAUUUGUAACCAAAACCAUCAAACUCCCGUAUUAUCUCGGGUUGAAAGCAAUUUGUUUAUGAAAUUUACAUUCUUUCUAUGUUCGAACCUCCACUAAGGCUAGUUCCAAAUAUUUGAUUCUAAUUUGGGCAACAAAAUUCAAAUUGGCGUCAUUAUCAAUGAGCACCUUGAUUUCUCUUGUCAAAGAGUUUUCCCCCUUUAUUGUUCUUUAUUUUGUCUUCCUUUGUAUGAACUGAUUUUCCUAGAAUCAAACUCGUUGUUGAAUUUUGUGGAGCAUGUUCCGAAGGAGAGGUGAAGAAGAGAAACUUGACCAACAAUACGAUGUGUUUCUCUUUUUCAAUUGUUUGGGUCGGUUAUCUCCUCGUCGAUGAAGUAAGGCAUCAAUUAUCACUUCCAGAGGGUGUGCAAGUUGAUCCAUUGUGAAUUAGAGAUAUUGUCCAUCUUGCAGGUGAUAUCCAUCAUGUUCUCUUCGACCACCAUCAAAUGGGCAGUUGAGGUUCGAGGAGAUGGAAUUUCGUGAUCUUUGGUGUGGGUAUCAAUGUCCUUCCCCAUGCAUGAGUUGGUGAUAUUUUUUAUUGUUAUGAGUCUCUUCGUCGAGGUACCAACUUUGAUGUUACUAAUCUUGAAGAUAAAUCUAGAAAGAAUGCCUCUAAUUCUUUUCAAAAAAAAUGAAACACACACACACACACACAAAACUGAAUUUUGAAGGAGAAAAAUAUAUAGGCUCAACUCGUUGGAAGACUUGCAACGUUUAAUUCCAAUUAUACACACAAAAUUACUAAAACAUCUUAAUUCCAAUUACAUCCAUGGAAAAAAAACAAUUUCAAAAAUAACAAAUUUUACAAAAUAUCCUAUAUCAAAUUCUAUCAAUGACUAUACUAUAGUGAUAGAAGAUUAUCAUUGAUAGAAUCUAAAAUUUUGCUACAACUUGUAAAUAUUUUAAUUUAUUUUACUAUUCUUAAAAAUGCCUCAUUAAAAUAAAUAGAGUGAUAAAAAGAUGAUAUAACAAAAAUGUAUUUAAUUUGUGAGAGUCUAAUUUAAAUAAUUCUAUGGUUUUAGUUGAACUUGGUGUCUUAAGCUAAACGUCAAGGCUAAUAACAGAAGUAACAACAUGAGUAACUGAAAGCAAAAAUAAUAAUAUAAUACACAAGAGAAUUGAUGAUCGAGUUGGAUAUGCAACUACAUUGAAAGGGUCUCAGACCCAUACAAACAAACCAAUCCAAGUUUGACAUAUACAACUAAUUUAUUGAAUUGUUGAGCUCUAAAACCAUCUCAUGAAUACCAAACUCUUCGUGAAUGAGAUAUCAUAAUGCAACAUCUUCAAGCAUUCCCUUGACCCUUUACAAUCCGUUGGCUUCUACUUUCUCAACAACUUUUCAUGAUAGUAACAAAGCAUCACAUAUAUAAUAAACUCACCAAGAUGAGAGAUACAACUCCCAAGUUUCAAUUAGCAAAACCAGAAGACCUAUAGCCCAAUUCCGUCAAAAAGCUUACAACAACCUUGCACACAAACACCCACAACAAGCCCCAAAACUAUCUUGAGAAACUCCAGUCGAACAACCUACAACUACAAAUCUUCCGAUUAGUUAGGAUAAAUAAAAAACCUAACUAAUGAAUUAAAUAAAUAAAUAAAAGAAAUGAGGGCACAUUUUCAGAAAGAUUAAACCAAUUAGAAAAGCAAGAGAAUUUAUUAAUUGAGUUUUAUGCAUUUAUGCAACAUCAAUUUUAAUUCAAUGAAAAAAUAAAUCAAAAUGGAGCAACCAUAUAUUAUGACUGCCAAUUUAGUUCUUUUUUUUUUAUUUGUCUUUGUAUACAGAGCUUUUUUUUAAUCAUAUUUUGACUAUAGAAGUUUGUUUUACGGAGACCUUCUCUAAACUAUUCGAAUGAUUUUUUUUUUUUUUAUUUGGUAAUGAAUUUAGUCUAAUGUUAAAUUUGUUACUUCAUAUUUGAAUUAUAUUAUUAUUGUUGUGAAAAUUUAAAAAAUUAAUGAAAACAUUCGAUUCAUACAACGAUUAAAGCAGAUCAAACUACAAAAUAUGGGAAACAAUAUUUUACUAAUGAAAUAAAAAGAUUCAAGUAACUAAAAUUAAUGAAGUAUUAUUACUAAUUUUAGUACAUGCAACAAUGGUUUGGAUGAGAUAUCCAUCUUCUAUCAAACAAACUAAAACAAAUUAGAUGAAAUAAAAAUAUUGUUUAAAUUAAAUAGAAAAUUCUUACAUUUAAUAUUUCACUCAUAAUUUAAAUUAGUUCUAUUUUAAAAAAUAGAGAUUAACAAAGAGCUAAUGAACCAAAUUAAUUACGGCCUAUCUACAAUGAGCUUCAUUAGGUCACAAUUAACUAUUAUUAUAUGAUACAAAUAGACACCGAUAAAAGUCUGUUUGUGGUUGUCAUUUAUAAGUGUUUAUAUUUUAUUAACGUCUGUUAUCAAUAAAAUUUAAAUUUUUUGUUAUAAUUUGUAAAUAUAUUCUGACAGUUCUUCAUUAACAAUCAUUUUCCAAACAUAAAACUAAUUAAUUGAUCAUAUCAAACUAAAAUUACAAUGUCUAAUGAAGAUAUGGUGAAAUAAGGGUAGGGCAGAUGUGAGAGGGACAAUAAUGUCAUUUUUAAAAAAGAAGUUUAAAAGAACCUUUAAUCAUUCUCAUGUUUUUUUACCCCUUCUCUCUUCUUUUAAGAAAGCAAGCAAUUCAAGUGAGCCAACACUUUCUUCUCUAAUCAAUAAUGCCAAUAAUACUUUUCCUCUCCCACCUCAUUCCUCUUCUACUUCUUCAAUUAUUUUCCUCUUCAGCUUACACCCCGCCUGAUAAGUAUUUCCUCAACUGUGGAUCGAAAUACGACACCGAACUCAUAAACAACAGACGCUUCAUCGGCGAUAACAAGGCCAGUGGUUGGUGGAUCUACCCCGGAAAAAGCAAAGCAGUUAAGAACCACACCAUCCCAAAGUCCGCAAAUGAAAUAAUAUACCAAACAGCAAGAAUUUACGUGAAGCCAACAUGGUAUGUGUUUGGGAAUAUCAAUCCAAAUGGAACGUAUAUGGUUCGUCUCCAUUUUUUCCCAACUUUACCUGAAAUCAUGUCUCAAGCUAAGUUUAAUGUGUCAGUUAGUUGCGGGUUUCAAUUGUUAUCAAAUUUCUCAGUUGGAAAUGAUUUGAAGACAGAAGUUGUUAAGGAGUAUACUUUUGGGAUUGAAGAAGGGGCUUUCGGGAUCAAAUUUUCUCCUAUGCAAUCGUCUUUGGCUUUUGUGAAUGCCAUUGAACUAUUUCUUGUUCCUGAUGACAUCAAACCAAAGUCGGCUUUCCCAAUUUCUCCGGAAGUACGAAUGAAUGGGAGUGAGUACCGGUUGGAUUCCCAAGCAUUCCAAUCUGUUUACAGGUGAUGAAUCCCACUUAAAUCUCUUCACAUCUUAUGGUAAUUUUCAACUCUGACGCUUAACUUUUAUUUUACUUUCAAACCUCUUUUUCCUUUUUCAACUUUACUUAUGAUUAACGAUUGAAAUAUGACCUUGGAUUAGGAAAUAUAUUAGAGUAGAUUGAAGAAAUAUCUAGAAAGUUUGACAAAUAAAUGUUAAUUGUUGAGAAUGUUCUCUAGUGAGGCAUUUGUAACCAUUAGAUCAAGAAUAUGUUGGCAAAAUUAUCCUAACCAUACAUUUAGGGGUGCAAGAAUAACAAAUAGAAGGAUACCCUACAGCACAUAUUUAUGAAACAAAAAAAAUUAAAAGUGCUCAACAACACAAGUAAUGACUUUCCUCAAUUUUAAUACCACAAGCGAACAAAAUGUAUUCAUGACUCGUCACACCCUCGAGAAUGUCACAAGGAAAACACUGACAAUAAAAAUAACAAGUAAAAUUAAAUAGACACGUAGCUUGGUAACCCAAUUUUGGGAUAUACAACCUACAUCUAAGGGACAAAGUGUUCAGGAAAGAUAAUCCACUAAAUCAAAAGUUAAGCAAAUCACAACUUAAUACUUAUAUGCAAUAACCUGCUAUAUGAUUUUCGUAGAGCUUAGCUAACUAAACAUCUAGGUUCCCCUUAUGUGAGACUCUAUUUCAAGUAUGCUUAUAAUGGAACACAGUCAAAUUAGUGAUUCCACAAAAAUACUCUCAUUCACUUGGUGAACCUGAAGAAACACACAUUAUGUUGAGUUGUAAGUGAUCCCAUGGGACCACUCAUAAAACAUGGCGAAUAGUAGUCCCAUUUGAACACACUUCAUAGAACUCUGAAAUGUGGUGAUUGUGAGGGACAAUGUACAUGUAGGUACACACCCUAAUAAUUAACAUUUGAUGAGUAUAUCCAAAAUCCACAAAUUAAUUUCUUAAACAUAAGAAAAAUAAUUAAUAAAUUUACUCAAUAAAAUUAUCAAUUAUACUCAAUAAAUUUACUCAGAAGAUAAUGAACGAUAUCUUCAACCAAUAUCAAGAUUUCUCAAUAGUAUACAUUGAUGAUAUCUUGGUAUUCUCAAACACUGUUGAUCAACAUUUUAAACAUCUUCGGGUGUUUCUAAAUGUGAUUAAAACAAAUUGUCGUGUGGUUUCCCAACCAAAGAUCAAAUUAUUUCAAGUAAAGAUUAGGUUUCUUGGUUAUGAAAUUAAUCAAGGAAUCAUCAAACCAAUUCAAAGGUCUCUGGAUUUUGCAGAUAAAUUUCCAGAUGUAAUACAAGACAAAACUCAGCUACAGAGGUUUCUUGGCUGUGUUAAUUACAUUGGAGAUUUUAUCCACGAUCUUCGCUCAAUUUGUCUGCCAUUAUAUGACAGACUGAGAAGGAAUCCAAAGCCAUGGACAUACGAGCAUACUCGAGCAGUCCAAUCAAUCAAGUCCCUGGCCAAAAGCAUCCCAUGCUUUUCUUUUGUAGAUGAACAGGCCAAACUCAUUAUUGAUACAGAUGCUUCCGAUAUUGGUUACAGAGGCAUCCUCAAAUAGGAACUUAACGGAAAAAUCUCCAUUGUUCGUUAUCAUUCAGGAAUCUGGAAUAGUGCACAAAAGAACUAUUCAACAAUAAAAAAAGGAAAUACUAGCAAUAGUACUUUCCGUCCAGAAAUUUCAAGGAGAUCUGAUUAACAAGGAACUCCUUGUUAGAACAAAUUCAAAAGCAAGUAAAUACAUCUUUGAAAAAGAUGUAAAGAAUCUUAUCUCAAAGAAAAUCUUUGCAAGAUGGUAGACAAUUCUAUCUUGCUUCAAUUUCAAAAUUGAGCCUAUAAAAGGCAGUGAGAAUUCACUUGCAGAUUACCUCUCAAGAGAACAUCUCUUGAAGAACCAAAAAUCAGCCUUGAAGUCUCUCUCAAAUGGAACCUCCUCCCGGCCGGCAACGGUCACCCAACCAGUGGCAACCGCCACUAAAUAAUCCAAACAAAAAUCCUCAAGGACCACCUCAAACAGUAGAUUCCUCUUCAGGAACUUCUUCUCCCAGGGGAAAAUCCCCGGCUCAAUCAUCUACACCGUCACCGAUGAGUGCAGAAAACUAUGCCAUGGAUUUACAAUUUGAGCAAGUAUCCAGGCGUCGUCAAGGCUCUGCUAAUAGAGCAUUGACAAUCCAAACAGACACUUCGAGUCUUCCCCCUCAUACCUUCAAGCACGUUGUUGCGACCCUCUGGGCCGACAACUCCAACAAGUGUGUCGCAUCAUCGGCCGCUUCCUCCUCAAGGUCUGCAAUUUCGUGGAAUCCAUCCUCGUAUUCCCAGAUUGUACGACCAAAAGUCUUCCAGCCAAGACCACAAAUUACUGGUUAUUUCACCAAAACAAUAAUGGUGGAUUUGACCAUUGAACCAGAAUUCGACGGACCUUCUGCCCUCGAAGUCUGCAAACAAAUAUUUCCUCAUGGAUUCAAUUUUCUUCCAGAGGAUCUAGCAAAAACUAGGACGUUUUAUGAGUUCAUUUUAGUUGAUUCUAAAUCGGCUGAAAUCACUCAUGUUCCUAACAAACAUGAUCCCUCGAAGAUCAUUUACUCAAAGCUGAGAAUUUUUCGAGUACUCACUCCAUCCUACUGAAAACAGGGAAUGUUCGUGGGAAAGAGAUUUUCUCAACCCUUCAAACCGCCAUCAUACAAUUAUCGCAAUUACACAAAAGCGUGGUAUAUCGUAUUUUGGCUUCAAGCGCAUAACCAUUCAUGGUUUGUGACAUUUUGCAAGCAAGCUUACAAAAUGCACUUUCCCCAAUGGUUUCAAAAUUGGUGGAUAUAUUUUGGUCUUUCUGAGGAAAUCUUCCCAAUAGAGAUCCAACGUUCAUACCACCUGUUCCAACAAAGUAUCUACUCGUCUCAUCUCUCAAAGACGUUUAGGUUUGCUUUGUAUUUUCAAAUUCCCUGGAUCUUUUGCUGGAAUUUCCAGCUCGAACCCUCAGAGAAUUUCAAAGCAUUGAGCAAAACGCUCAAAAUCAAAUGGUGGGAAAAAUUUAGCUAUUCCCAUCUUCAAGCAAAGAAGAUAAAGGACUGAUUUAAGGCCAAUGUCCAUCUUCAAGACAUGACCAGGCAAGAGGACGAGUCCUCAUCACAAAGAACUCGGUCAUGACAACCCUAGCUGGAGCAAGGACUCAAGAGGAGUUAAACUCCGUUGUCAACAACGUCGUCGUAAAUCUCUCAGAUGGCAACGAUGACGAUCAAGUGGCCUCUCUAGAAGAAGCCUCUUCUUCAGACUCGGUCAAUGAUGUCGACAACUUCGAUCCAUUAGAAGGAAUAGACAUAAAAGACCCAUUUUUGGACACGCAACAAUACUAAGUCCAAAAUUGAGGUCCUUCUUUCAAGAGUUUUUAAAUUUAGUCAAGUGUAUUAAUUGUAAAUUAAUUUGUUUAAAAAUUUUCCAAAUUUAUUUAGAUAAGAUCAUUGUAUUCUGAUACCUUCAACUUUUCCCAACAAGAUAUGAUAGUUAUCAUUGAGGAAAAUGUGGCGAUGAAAGACGAAUUCACCACGAUCAAACUCUUGCCUGAAGAAACGCUCUUCAGAAGCAGAGAAAAAUUCAAAUACCUCCAUAUCGGAUGCGUACAAGUUUUCAAUUCUUUUAAUUAACCAAAUACUCUUCAAUAAAUCACAAUUUGUUACAUUUCUUUUCUCAAUAACCAUAUUGCAAGAUAUAAUUAUCCAUUUUUCUUUUAAAUAAAUCUUAUUCUCUUCUCUUUUCUCGUAUACCUAAUCAUAUCAACAUCUCACCCCAAUCAAUAUUCAUGUUUCUCCAAAUAAUUAAUUAUCAAAUACAAUAAUUAAUUUUAUACAAAUAAAAUUAUCUUUACUCUUUUCCAUAAUAAUUAUAUAUAUAUAUUUAUAAUUAAGCAUAAUCGUACAAACCCACCCAAAUCCACUAAUUAAUUAAAUAUUAAUCAAUAUUCCAAUUUCAACGAAAUCAAAUAAGUCUGAUUGAAACGUUUGAAAAUAAUACCCAAUAAACUCAAACAUAAUUAAGAAAAUUAAAUUAAAAAUUACCUUAAUUUUGGGUGUUAGAUAGUAAAUAAGAGAGAUACCCCGCCAUUCACAUCGAGCCGAAAAAAUAAAAAAAAAUAAAAAAAUAAACGGAUUGUUGCAAAUUUAGCACUUAGAUUCAAAAUAAUUAACUAUAUUACAACAUUUUAAAAUAUUUACAAAUAUAGCAAAAUUUGUCAAAUUCUAUCACAAGCAUCAUCCAUAGUUUUAUUAUAUUUAUAAUUCUUUUAAAAUGUUGUUAUAUCAUUAGUUAUUAUUCCAAGAAUGAACGCGGUCAAAAUAGGAGUAGAGUCAUUCCUUAAUUCUUUCUUUUAAAUUUCAUCGAACCUCUAGAAUUCAUUUCCAACAUUAACCUUUUCUAAUCACACACGCAAACAUAUUAUUGAAUUAAAAGUUUACUACAUAACAGCGUAUGAUUUCACACUUACGUGAUAUAUAUGUAUACAAACAAGUGGUCUCCUGAUAAAUAUAAUUUUCUAAAUAUUAAGAGAAACUUUUGAAAAAGUUAUUUUAUAAAGUGAUUUGUACAAAUAAAAUAUUUAUAUUCUAAAAGCUUCUUCAUGUCCUUACAUAGUUUACUUCAUUUAUUAUUUUUUUAAAUUAUCAAUUGAAACUGAAUUCUAUAGACUGUCAUUUUAAAUGUUAAUGUUUGAAUACUCUGUUUUAAUGAAUAAAAGGUUGCUACAAUAUGACUUGGUAUGAUAAAAUGUAUGCUUCCUAAUAAUUAAAACCAUAUAUAAAGUUGAUGUGUGCAUUUACCAUUUUUCUCUAGCUAUAAAAGUAGGGACGUUCAUAGUUAUCAUGUUAAAUCACUCCUAGAUUCUCAAAAGUUAAGAUACUGUAACAUAUUUAUAUAUUUAUACAGCCUGAAUAUUUAAUCAUUAAGUUGUACUAAUGUUGUUUUGGGUCAUGUUUUUGAAGAACAGAGUGUGGAUGGGCAAUUGGAAGAUCACUCCAGACUAUGACACAUUAUGGAGAACCUGGCUCCCAGAUUCUGAAUUCAUGGCUCCUCAACCCCUUGCAAUAACCUUCAUCUACAAUAAACCCUUAAACUACAGAAAAUUAGGAAAAAUUUAUGUAGCCUCAAGUGACAUUUUCAGUACUGCAAAAACAUUGGAUUUGGACACCCCCGCCAGCUCAAGAGAUUUAAAUCUAACGUGGGGUUUUAAGUUGAAGAAGAAAUCCAAGUAUUUUCUUCGCUUACUAUGGUGCAACAUCUUUCCGAAUUCCUCAACUUUCAAUUUUAAUCUCUUCAUUGGCGUCAAUCAAACUUCGCUCCAAAACACGGAUGUACCUGUUCGAAAUUUGUCUGGAUUGCCAUUUUGGAACGAGUUUAUCUAUGCCACAGAUAGUUCGGGGUUUUUCAAUGUGGGUAUAGCCGUCAAUGAAGAAGAUCCAUUGUCAAGGGUAUUCUUAAAUGGAAUUGAGAUUAUGGAGUUAAUUGAUAAAUCGUUUGUGGGUGUUGUUGAUUUGAGGAUGGAAGAGAAGAAACAGAGUCCAAAGAUGAUUAUUGUUGGGGGUUGUGUUGGUGGUGUUGUGAUUAUUAUGGCUUUGAUAAUUGGAUUCGCUAUGUUUUGUUUCACUAGAAAACAGAAAUCAAAAGAACAUAGUCCUUUGCUUCUUCCUCAAAAUGAUCCGUCGUCCAAGAAGAUCGUGUCGAUUGUGGAUCUUGCUUCUAAUUUGAACCUUGAAUUGAAGAUACCAUUUGAGGUAAUAAAUGAUGCAACUGAUGGAUUCGAUAAUAAGAAAAUCAUUGGUAUUGGAGGUUUUGGAAAUGUUUAUAUUGGGAAGAUUGGGGAGAAGGAAGUAGCUGUGAAGCGAAGUCAACCUGGACAUGGACAGGGUAUCAAAGAGUUUCGGACAGAGCUUGCUAUAUUUCCCCACAUACGGCAUCGUUUUCUAGUUACAUUAUACGGGUAUGUUAUUACCAUUACUCAACUCUUAUCAAAUAUAUAUUUACGGAAAAUCCAUAAAAACCAACAUCAAUAGGGCAAAAGGAAACAGCAUAGGUCACCAAGAUAUAUCGAAAUCCCAAUUGGGGAAGCAAGAAACCCAACCAUGCCUUGAAUCUUUGGAGUUGGAAACCAAAAACGGCAAACCAAGCAGCAUUUGCUGCAUUUCGGGCACAGGUAGCAGUCCUGUUAGACACACAAGGAUGAUAUAUGAGAAUGCCCAACCAUCGUGCCAAAGCCCAAAUAAUUUCCUCGACCUCAUCCAUGACCUUACUGAAAUCAAUCAAACAGUUGUUAAAUACGUUCAUCACCUUAUUGUCAUCCAAAUCAACUACAAUAAAGAGAGAGAUGUAAUUUAAAAGAGAAGAAAAAUGGUAAACUUUCAAUAAAUGCUUGAGUUUUGAGUAACUCAAUGAGCCACUCGUUCGAGAUUUGGAUGAAUCAUGGACAACCCAAACCACUAAUUAAUCACAACCCUUCUCAUUGUUCUAGGAAGAGUUGACAUGCAUUUUCCAUUCUUUUCGAAGAAGGGGUUCACGAAACAUGACUUAACGGGCUCUCCAACUGACUGAGGUGAGGAUCAGACACCUUCAUAGCAACACACCCAUCAUAUGCUUUCAUUGAUCCUAAUAAUGUUCCAAUAGCUCCAAAGACUCCACACAAUUAAAAUCACCUUCCUCCACUCCUCUUCAUCCACGUUUCUUUUCAUCAAGUUUCAAAGCUUCCAAGGCACUCCAUUUAUCAAACUCCAACCCCUAACUAUAUCCAUGCCAUGAAUGUAACACCUAUAUACAUUGAAACCUUCAAAGUAGCGUCUAACCCACAAACUCACUCCAUGAUCUAAAUACCUAAAACAAUCCAACAUCUCACAACUUUCACUAAAGCUAAGUUUAAACUAAAGGCGGCCAUAAGUACAAGAUAGCCAGAACAAAUUUUCUUAAUUCAAAAGCUAAGUUUAACUAAAGGUUACAAUAACUGUAGGUAGCAAGAACCAAUCAUCAGAAUUCAGAAGCUAAGUUAAACUAAACACUACCGCAAGUGCACGAUAGCAAGAACCAAUCAUUUGAAAUAAAUUUAUCUUAUCUUCAAUAAAAAAAAACAAAUAAAAAUUUUAAAAAUACGUACCGUAAGUUCAAGGUCCUAUGUGUGCUCAUGUCAUUUGCUCAAUUAUCUUCUUCAUUUCUUCCAUUUGUUGGGCAUGCAUCUCUGAUGUUCUUUUUUGUUCUUCAAUCAUUUGUUUUAUUUUUUCAAGCUCAUUUCUUUGUACUUCAAGUUUAUUUCUUUAUUCUUCUAGUUUAUUUCUUUAUUCUUCAAUCUUGUUUGGUUGUUCUUCCAUCCGGGACUGCAAGCAGUCAAGUCUAUUUCUUUAAUUCCAUAACCUCUGUAGAGUGCAUUUCUUGAGAAUACGAACUCGAUGAACUGCUACCACUCUUCCAUGACUUGGUUGGGCUUAGGACUCAAACCGAGAUUUUUUAAAUAGUCUGUCUCUCAUAUGUUGUUUUCAAGAGAGUGGUUGAGAACCUUCUGGGUGAGUAUGGAUAGUAAUUUCAUCAUUUGAUUAUGCACACAAAUAGUUAAGUUAUGCACUCACAAUUAAACUAUAAAAUAAAUCACAAUAAACCAUAACCUUACAUGCACAUCCUCAGCGGCUUGUGAAGCGAACUCACAACUCUUAUUGGCGCGUGUUUCUUGGAAUAGCUCCACACGUCUUACUAGUUGAUCUCAUUCAUCAGUAAGCUCAUGUUGUCAUUAUAGGAAUGACUUGGACUCGCUGGUAUGAUUGUAUGGUGCGAAACCAUAUGAUAAUUGGUACGCUGUUAUAACUUAAGUAAUGACUCUAAGCAAGAACAUGCAAAACCAUAUGAUAAUAUCUUUGAAAUAGAUUGAAUUAGCAUGCUAUUAGUAAUAACUUUGAAUCACUAAUAACAUAUUAUCCAUAUGAUAGCUUCUACGGCUAAGAGUAUAAUAAAAUUAAUGUACUUGCAACAUUUGUUGAAAUAAAUUGUUGAUUUCAGGUUAUGCUAUCAACAUUUAUGUCAUAUAGAAAUUCAAAAGUCAAGUCAUCAGUAAUAAAUUCAUGAAAAAUAUGUACAUAUUGACAUAUUAGACAUGUUGUCAUUGACAGAAGUCAUCAUCAAUGACGUGAUAUCAAUGAUAGAAAUAAUUACUGAUAGCAUGAGAGAAGGGAACUGAAUAGAAAAAUUGAAAUUAUAUUUUAAAUUUUUUUUACCACAUAACUAGUCAAAAAUUAUCAUCUUUCGAAAUAUUGUUAUCUUAUGCUAUAGGUGUGUGUAUAUAUAUACAACUUUCCUAUAUUUAGUCUCAUUUAUCUCUGGCUAAGACUAAAUAAAUGAGUUUUUUUUUCUCUGAUCUUCUAAAAGAACUGAUUUUUUUAUCACACAUUAAAAGGAUUUAAAGUGAAUAAUCUUUUCAACACAUGUGUAUUUUUCAUUUUCAUGUUAUCGAAUAUGUGCAAUGAAAAUGAAAUUGUUUGAAUUAAUUAUAUAAAAUACUCAUAAAUUUUGUAUUUUGGUAAAAGGUAUUUUUUUAAGCUUUACAACAUUUUUAAAAUAUCUUUAAAACUUAGACAUUCCUUGACGUCAUCAAAAUAUAGAUAUUACUUGACGUUUUGAAAAUGACAAGAAAAAAUACAUAUCACUUUACGUUUAAAAAGUCAAAAAAGCAUCGGCAUGAAUUUUUUUUCUAAAAUUCGCCUACCUCUGUUUUUCAUAAAACCUCCUUACUUGUGCAAAACGUCGAAGAAAAAUUAGAUACUAUUUGACAUUUUUAAAUCGUCAAGGCUAACUACAUACCCUUUAAUGUUUUUUAAACAUAAAGAAAGGCUUGGACAUGAAUUUUUUAAAAUUUCGUCCAUCUUUGCCUUUUCAUAAAAAUUAUUGACGUUUCAAGGGGUCAAGAAAAAAAUUAGAUACUACUUGGCGAUUUUAAAAUGUCAAGAAAAAGUACAUAUCACUUGACAGUUUUGAAACAUCAAGAAAUACCUCAGCUCUGGCUUUCCAUAAAAAAUAUUUGCAUUUUAUCUUUAAAAUUAUUCAUUUCUCGACAUUUUUUCAAAAGUCAUCAAAUAUUUAAAAUGACAAAUAUUAAGAGAGUCUAUUUUUGAAAUGGUGUGUAGUGUGGGUGAGAGACACAAAUAUAAAUACUUUAAACAGAUCUAAACCUAAAACUUCUUAAUUAUAGUCAUAUAUACACACACAAAAAGGAUAACCGAUCCAGAACAGUAAGCUUCACUUUGAGAGAAAGAUCAACCAUGCCUAAAUAAGCUCCUAGAAUUUUCUAGAUAAUAAGGAAAAUAUAUUCAAAUAGAAUCUUCAAUUCCAGAGAACAAACAAGAGGCAAAGUAACAAUAGCUCAAAGAAGAACGACUGCCACAACAAUCUUAAAAACAAUAGCCAUGAAAGAUGUGUAUCAUUGAAACAAAUUGAGCUAAAAGAAGUUACGAAAAACCAAAUUAAAACGAAAUGUAAGCAAAUGAAAUCUAGGAUUUUGAUAACAAUUUUAGAAAUUUGUACUUAUUUUCUCAUUAUAAUGUUUGGCUUUUAUACGUGAACAAAGCUCAAUUUUACCGAUAUUGAUGAAAAUAUGAACAAAAUGUUAGAUGUCGAUCCUUAUGCCACCACAAAUGCUAUAAAAACAAAAACUUUUAAAGAAAUAUGUACAUUAAUAAAUAAAAUAUUUACAUUAUUUCCCAUGAAAACUGAAUAUUUAUUAUGCUUAUUUGUACUUUUCAUAGUUCUUUAAAUAAUAUGAUGAAAAUGUAGAUUCAUACAUUCAUGUAAAUAUCAAAGCAUGAAUAUGUUGAAAUAUCCAGAAAUAUGGUGGACCUAAUCUUUUAGAAGUUUUAAAACUUUUUCAUUUUGUUUUUGUUUCAGAAAGUAAGAGGUUUAUAAGUUGGAGAGUGAUGAAAGUAGUAUGAUAUAUUAAAUUUAUCUUAAGUUAUGAAACUUUGAGGUUGAUUAAAGAUUUAAUACUUGACUAUUUCUAUUAUAUCGAUUUAAUACUAUCUAUUUAUAUUAUUGUAAAAUAGAUGAAUGAAAUCGUCCACUAAUGUUUUUAAAAACUAGUUUAUAUGUAUGUAAUCUUUUGUGAUCCAUAUUUAUGAAAAGGUACUGUGACGAAAACGAAGAGAUGAUCCUGGUUUACGAAUACAUGGAUGGUGGAAAUUUAAGAGAUUAUUUAUACGGUUCAAAAGCAAAAGAUCAUGUUCCAUUGUCAUGGAAGAAAAGGCUUGAAAUUUGCAUCUCUGCAGCAAAAGGGCUUGAAUAUCUACACACCGGCUCCAUCGCGGGCAUCAUCAUUCACCGAGACAUUAAAACCACAAACAUCUUGCUCGACAAAGAUUUAAAUGCAAAGGUUGCUGAUUUUGGGAUAUCAAAGAUUAGAGCACCGGACGUCGCUGAAUUUGACAACACUAUUAGAGGCACUUAUGGGUAUAUGGACCCAGAAUACCUAACCACCGGAAAGUUGAAGGAAAAAUUUGAUGUCUACUCGUUUGGUGUCGUGCUUUUCGAAGUUCUCUCGGCCAGAGCUCCGAUAAAAAAGUCGGUUCCAAGUGAAGAGACAUACUUAGCAGACUGGGCAAUUCUAUGUAAGAACAAAGGAGAGAUUGAAAAAUUGAUCGAUCCUUCUCUUGUUGGAACCAUCGAUGCGAGUUCGUUGAAGAAAUUCGUGGACAUUGCGGAGAAGUGUGUGGACGAAGUUGGGGCGAAUAGGCCCUCAAUGCGCGAUGUGGUGAAUGAUUUGGAAUUAGCUUUGCAGUGUCAGUUAACACGUUUAGGGCAGGGUAUGGAAUAUGAGGGGAUCAGUACCACCGUUGUUGAAGAUCCAUGGAAGAUUGAUUCAAGGACUUUUGAUCAGAUUCCUUCUAAAGGGAUUGAUGAUUCAAUCAUGCUAGAUGAGGAUACCACCGCGGUGAAUGCCAACGAGUUGGCUGUAGACUUUAAGAUUGAUUAUGCUAGAUGAUUUGAUUUCAUAUGUGAGAGUUUAUAUUUUGCUAAUUAUUGUGAAUCAUGGUUUUUAGUCAUCAUGUAUGAAUUGCAAUAUUUGCAUGGUAUUAAACUAUAUGGGGUAUGUAGCUUGGACACAGUUAAGAAGGUCGUUUGGUGUGUGUAAAUUUGAAAUAAUGUUGAGUGUAAAUGUUCAGGAUAGAUGGUUGAAUCUGGGGGUUUAGAUAUAGUUUGAAUUGAAGGAUGUUUAAAAAUUGAAGGUUAAAAAAUAUAUAUGUUCAUCUAUUUUAAAUAUAAGUCAGAAAAAAAGUAGAUAAACCCUUUAAAGAUAUUAACGAAUUAAUUUAGUUAAAUGAAGUUGACUCUAUAGUUUCUUGUUGUUUUAAAAUAUCUAUCUAUCUUGAUAUAAAGUUAACUCCACACAAGUAUUAACCAUAAAAGUAUUGUAAAUUGAACCUUCCUACUCACAUUUUCCACCUCAUGCUGGCAUGAUUUAGCCCUGACAUACCUAUUUGGUUAUCCUAUAAACCUCCCUGCUUUAACACAUCUCAUGCUUAAUGCCAACAAAGUUUGUUUGUCUUGUCUUGCUUCCUUUUGCCUCCUACAAACUCCCUUGUUACCUUUCAUCCCAUCUCUUAUUUAAAGCUACACCAUGAUACUUAAAUCAUAACACUCAAUUGAUGACACACCACCUAUUAUUAUGUCCUUUACAACUCAUUCUUUGAAACAGAAUUCGUUCUUAACUUGAGUUAUUAUACUUGUUGAAAGAGGUUUUAAGGUUCUAUGGUUCGGGCUCAACAACCUAAUUGAAAUUUCUUUUAAAUUUUCCUUUUGUUAUGAAUCUUAACUACUAACCUCAAUCCGUAUUCAUCUAUUCUUAUAGGUUACUUAAAAAACUUGGAAAAUUAUUUGGAACCAAGGGUUUACAUACUCUUUAUACUACUUCCUAGUAUAAUUAGUAUUGAUGGGUAAAGUACAAAUUUUAUUUGAUAUGUCAUUUGUAGACGACACUAAAAGGCUACAUAAAAUUAGCGUUAUUGCAAUGGAAGAAAAUUAGUUUUUCUUAGCCAGUUUUUGGUUUAACAGUUCUUUUAUUUUGAUUUGCUUUUCUGUUGUGCCAGUGUUCUAAGCAUGGCAGGAUAUCAUCCAGAAGGUUGUAGACUAUUGGUUGUUAUAUUAUAUGCAUAUAUUUCUAUUUUGGAUUUGUCAUAUUAAGCUUUAAGUGAGCGAUUAAUAGGCGACUGAAUAGGGCUAUGCGUUAAAUUAAAGGUACGUUCAUAUUCAUGUGUUGCACAAACUUUCUAAGGAUAUGCAUGUCAUGCAAGAUUUUCUCUCUAUCGCACAAAUGUAAGCGAAGAGAGGUUUCCUGGUAAGUUUCGGGUCGAACUCAAUGAAUUUAAGCUCUUAGUUCUCUUAUCGCGCAACUAAACCAUGCGGUAUAAGCUAUACAGUAAUGUUAUGCUAAGUAUUAUUUUAUCCUAAUUAUUUACACUCUAAGGUGCUUGUCGGUGCAAGGUGAGCAUGGUGAGAUGAUUAAAAUGAAAAUUGAACUCAAGUCUAGGCAUGGCGAGGAAGGAAAAGUUUAAUUAACUAAUCACAAGAAAUUGUGCUUUAAUAGUUCAAGUUGAUACAAAUCAUAUAUUAACUUCAAAUUAUAGCAAGCGACCUCUCGGCGCCUUUGCCAUACUUGCUCUCCUCUUGGAAUCUAAAUACACAAAGUUAUGAUAUGAUUUAUAUCUAAUAAUCUUGGAUACAUUAUUAGCAAUUUCUCCUUGAUUAAGGCAGGCAACCUCUCGGUGCUUUUGCCACACAUUGGCAUCUCUACAAUGUAUGUGAAGGACAAACUUGGUGACAAGAUUGGAUCGCUACAAUCUUCUUGCCACUUGCUUAGCUAAAUGCUUGUUCUCACUUGUUAGGUGAUUACAAUCAACAUCAUUGUUCUGCUCUAGAAUAUACAAUGUUUUAACCUCCACAUUUAACUCAACAAAACUCAUAACACAAACACAUUAUGAUUCUCUAGGUAUUAAAAACACAUUUCAUUGCUCGUAAGUUAACUAAACAAAUUGAACAUGAACAGUAAAAGAAAGAUGCGAAAUUGGAAGAAGAAAUGCAUUGCUUUCAUAAAAAUAACUUUAGGUCCCUCGACCAUGAUGUACAUCUUACAAAACAGUACAAGAAAACUAUAAAAUGGAAUACAAGAGAAGGUGUUACGCCUCAGAGUUAUGAUUUCUCAUACUCUUUGGCUCUGAUUUUUGUCUAUUUUGUGAGGGGGAGAUGAAGGGGAUGAACUCUCUCUUUUGUUCUAAGUUCUCACCUAAAACUUAAGAGAAGAGAAAAGAUAGGACGAUGUUUGAGCUUUCUCUCGGGCUAAAUGUGCACACUUUUUCUAAAGUGACGAGCUCUAUUUACAGACGAGGAGUGAUGUUGACAGGAUAUCUCAUGCCAUUAAUGCUUCUGAAAAGUUGCAUCAGCCUUGUGCAGACGUCCUUUUGUCCUUUUUAUAACUUUCUCUCCAACCAAAUUUGUCUACUAGUGCCUCAGAUUCCCUAGCUUACUUGCUUGUCGCCGCGUUGGCCAGAUGUGUCUCCUUGCUAAACAUUAUAUCAUCGAGCUUUACUUCUUUUGCCUAAAAUCCUAUGAUAAAAGCACUAAAAUGCAACAAAAUAGGGAUGAUGUUCUUUUGCACGAUGUUAUUUACAGAUUAAAUCGCCUACUUUUUUCCUUAGUUUUCUUCUAUUCUUAUGCGAUUAGACUUCAUUAUUUUACAUAAAAGACUAUAAUAACUUGUAUUUCUACAGGAUAUCAGUUAUUAGUAGAGCAUCGCUAUUCCAAGUAAAAAUAGAAAAAGUUUUUAAAAUAUGCAUAUAAAAUGAUUGCUUGUUUUUGGAUUGUAUUAAUGAUGGUGUGCGUGGUUCUUAUUGACUAUAUGAGUAAGUAACUUGAAAAACCAAGCUUUUUUUUUUUUUUUUGACAAUGUGCUUUAUUGUAUACCUUGCUCACGACGAUCAAGAAUUAAGUUGGGGUGUUUGAUAGCACCGAAAAUGUAUUAUAUAGCCCCUCUUAAUUUGAGAUUGUUCCUAUAUUUUAUGUGUUUGUUUGAUCAUUUUAUAGGUUUCAAGCACCAAAGAGUUAGAAUCCAGUCUUAGAAAGAAAAUAGAGCUACAACGGACCAAUUCGAAGUACUUCCGGCAAAGAGAUUAAGUGGAAAAACUCAAAAAUUACAAAAUUGCCACCAAAAAGGUGCACAAUCCAAAAUGUGGCAACAUUGUUCUGUAGCACCGCGACAUGGUCGCACGAAUAUAAAUUUGUAGCUUCAAUUUUGGGUCAUAUAUUGUGAUCUAGGUGGCUGCUUUGGACAAAUGCUUAAUUUUUUUCUUCUUUUUUUCAUCCUCUGUCCAUCUACACCAUAAAACGAUGUGGUCUCACUAUCUUUUCCACCAUUAUGUAACAACAAUAUCUCUAUUCUUUCAAGUUUUUAGGAUUAUGAAGGAACUCAUUGUACUUUUUGGAGUAUUUUGAUAGUGUGAUUGAUAUUUCUUGUCUAUGGGGAUUUUAUUCUUGAUUUAUUGAUUAUUAUGAACUAAAUUUUCUUGUAAAUGUUAUUUGAUUGUGGAACUUGAUGCUUUAGAUUAACAUAUAUAUUAUAUGUGACACAUUGCAUGUUAAUAUUCAAGAAGCAAUAAGUUAGAUAAGCUUGUGAUUUGUGAUCGACAUCAAAGAGCAUUGUUUUAUUGAUAUAGGAAAACCAUAUUAAAUAUCUAACUAGGCUUUUCCUAUUAAAAACGUAUCCUAAUGCAAUCCCUAACAUUUAACUUGGGUUACUUAAAUUGAAUAGGUUGUUUCUCAUCUAAUUAAAUGGGCUAAUUUGAUAUUUAGGACCAUCGUUUAUCUUUCUAAUAAAUUGAAUUAGACAUAGAUAAUGAGUAAAAAUCAUGAUGUACAACUCAGUAGGAUAGGUAGCGUUGAUCGACCUGGCAAAGUUGAAGUCAAUUUGAGAAACUAUUUUUUUUUUUUUUGUGCUUCCCUAGGGAUCGACAUGGUCUUGCCACUUCGUAGUAUAGGUUGCAUUAGUUAGUGUAGUAUAAAUUUCAUUUUAUUAGCGAUUUACAGAUGAUAGUAAAAGGUUACAUCAGUGUUUGAGAGCUUACAAAAUAAAUUUAUAAAAUCAAAGAAGAACCCUAAGUUAAGUACAACAAGGAAACACAUUAUUUUAGGUUCUAUCAUGUUGAGUAGACAGAACUACAUGAGGAAAGUAUUAUCAAACAAAAGAAACAAAGAGUCGGACAUCUUAGGGAACAAUAUGUAUAGCAUGGUCUAACAAGAUCAUUGCAUGUACAACAAAAAAGUGCCAACAGAAAUGAACUAGAGAGCUAACUUAAAUUCCAAUACAUAUAUAACACACGUGAGGUACCCAACAUCCUAACUUCUUGCGAGAGUACAGGUUGUUGGCUCUUCAAUAUAAAUCGACAUGUAAAGCAACCAUUUCAACCAUUGGGAUUUAAUUUCCAACCACAGCAACUCUGUAUAUGCACGAUAAAAUAAUUCUCAGGCUGCACAAGCACAUAAUGCAACCUAAGGUUUUUCAAUUAGACAAUUUCAUUACAGGAAUACAUUACAAAGAAUGCAUGCGUGAUGCAAUUGUUCAAAGCAGUGUAACCUGAUUUAGGAAUUUGGAAGUACAACUAAGACAAUGGGCAACAAAAAUAAGGAAUAGUCCACAAGAAGCUCAAUUCAACAAUAUUGUGGAUCCUCACAAAAAGUAAAUAAAAAGAGCAAUGUAAGACAAUAUUUGAUCAAUGAUAUUCAGAAGUGGGACUAAAUCAUGUAGAAGACUCAAAUGGUAGCAAGUAGGAAGAUUCAUAGCCUAUAAGAUAUAGACAGAAACUCCAUUAUUAAUUCUUCUUCUAGUUUGAAUCUAGAAGUAAAACUAUUGAGCUUAGCUUAGAUAAACGAAAGGAAUAGGAUAAAAUUACACAUAUAUUAUACUAAUUAUUUUUAGAAUAAAUAAUAUUACCUUUUUUUACUUCAAAU